rnacentral:lncRNA from 1 species
CCCACAUACCUUGAAUGAUGAACUUUAGAUCGAUACUCAUUGUUUAGAUGUUAAUCGUGCCUUUGAAUAAUGGUUCUUGGAGUUCUUGAACUAGGUGCUUGGAAUCUUGAAUAAAUUUGCAGAAUUAAUGAUGAACUUUGGAGGUUCUUGAAGUUAGAUGUAGGAGCUUAGGGUUUUAUUUUUGAGGGAUUUUGAUGAAAUAUAACAUAUAAUGCUUCUAAUAGGCUUUAAUAUAGGGUUUGGACAGAUUUUGGGUGAGGGGGAAUGACCAAAACGCCCCUAAAAAUAAAAAAAAAAUUUGAAUCCAUCCUUUGGUGGACUGUUUUGAUAGUCUUAAGUAGAUCAACCAUAACUUUUUACUCCGAUAUUCAAAUUGGAUGAAACCAAUUUCAUUAGAAAGAGAACUCGCAGAGCUUUCCGUUGAUAUAUAGUAGAUCACCCAGAUCAUUAUGUACAAAGAGUUAUAAUCGUUUAAAGUUGGAGCAAAAAUACGCCAGGCCUCAGUACUUUUUCCUGCACAUUUUACUGUUCACUACUAUUCAUGGUUCGAUCGAAAUGUUCAUAACUCGUCGCUCGGGUGUCCGUUUUGGAUGAUCCACAUAUCGUUGGAAAUCUUAUUCGAUAAUAUACGCAAUGGUGGGUCAUAAUCUAAGACAUUUAGCAUGAAAAAUUUAUAAUUCAUUUUAGAAGAUAGAACCCAACAUGUUUACGCACAAAAUUUCAACGAAAAAUUUUUCGGGGUAUUACAUGUAGCCCGUGGGUGCCUGUUAUAACAGUUGAGCUACAUAGUCUAGGAUAAUAUUUUACUUCAUGCUAAGCCUUGUUCCCGAUCCCGGCAUAUUAUUUAUACAUGUAUAUGAUAUUGAUUAUAUGGUUUUGAAUUGGAUUUGAUUUGAUAUUAUUUUGUCCCCUAUUCCUGAGUUAUAUGCUAGUGUUCACUCCACUAACCAUCUUCGGAUGUUGUAUCCCACUUCAUGCAGGCACCGAAGAUACUUCUAUUUUUUUUAUAUAGAGUUAGGUUGAUUAGCUCAAUUCGUCAGUUCGUUGUGGUGAAGUUGUGAGCUUGCAUUAUCCGGAAGACUUGGACAUUUCAUCAGCUUCUUUUCAUAGACUAGAACUAAGAGUUCACUUUAUCAUUAACAUUAUCAUUGUCAUUGUAAUUGUCAGAGUCGAGGCCAUGUCUCGAACAAGAUCUGUUUUCGACUUUUGCUUAGAGGCUUUGUGGAUAACACUGUGGAUUGGGUGUUGGUAAAGACACUCUUAAAUAUCUUGAAUUAUUAUUUUUCUAUCUUAUUAUAUGUUCAGAAUUCAGUUGUUGUGUUAUGAUCUAAUUGGCUAGGUAAAGGGGUGGUCUCCGAUCCUCGGUGGACUUGAGAUACCCAUCACAUCCAGGCCCUGGUUCGGGUCGUGACAACUUUCAUCCUCACUUCCCUAGUUACCUCAUUUUUAAUAUCCAUCAUCAUAGUAGGGAAAUCCCCUUUCAGAUCUACUAACACUUUGACCCUUGCUCAACUUGGUCUACUUUAUUAAUAGUAGCUAGAUCCAAAUGAACAGGUUUACCUACUGUUGGUGCUAAAGAAAAAAGGCAUCCUUUAACAAUAGGUGGUUAACAAGUUAGGAAAAGAUAUCCAAGAUAAUGUCUUUGUGGUUUAUUCACUCAUCUUAAAUUGUGCAUCAUAAAUGAGAGUGUACGAUACGAUACGAAUAUCUGUCUUUGCACGCAAUAUAGAAAGAUCCUCUUGAUGUAAGAUUUAUGAAGUCAGCAUGUUAUGUAAGGUGUAUGAAAACAUGCUUGUUACGGAACAAUCCAAUUUUACAAUCACCCUUAAUAUCACAUUGUUGUAAGACAAUCUUUCUCAAUUUCUCUAGAUUUGUCCAUUUAUAUAUGAAUUUUCCUAUUACUGCAAAGUGCAAAUUUUUAAUUCUAUUUAUCUUGUCAACUUUUUCUUCCAUUUAUUUUACAUGUGGAACACCUUCCACCCUGACAACUUCCUUGUAAUUUAUAGAGUCAAUAUUAGGUACUGUUGUUCAUAUCAAUAUAUGAUUCUCAUAUCAAUAUAUGAUUCUCAUAGAACUCUUCAAAGUUCACAGCUUCAGUGUUAGGGUUCUCUUUCAAUCUUCCGCUAUGAAUUGCUAAUACAAUAUAACCAUAAGAUACUUACACACAAAUCAUUAUUACCUUUUUUAUAACUAUGUUGUCGUUAGGGUGUAAAAGUUAUUUAACAUUUAAAGGAUAUUUUGAUCAACUAACAUUUAUAUUCAUGCUUUUAUAAUAGUACUAGAUUAGUUAAGCCUUGCUCUGCACGGUCCAACGUUGUUCAACUAAAUUUUUUGAUAGCUUUUUUUUCACAACGUUCAUAUUUUAGUGCAAAGUUUUGUUGAUGUCGUUACUUAUCUUGAGGCCAUAUAGUAUCUAUAAAUAUUACAAUUUUAAUACUCCCUCUAAAGUACCAAAUUAAAUUUUCCUGAACUCAUAAAUUUUUUCAAAAAUGACUACUCCCAUCAUUAAAAUGAACCAAGAAAUACACCAUCAUUCUUAUUACAAUUCAGAUUGAUAAAUAAAAAUAAUAGGUAAGGAAGAAUGCUUAAGAAGUAAAGACCACCCGCACUUAUACUAUCAAUAUAUGUAUUUGAUUGAAUAUUUACAUUUGGACAUACUUCAAUAGUUUCAUCUCUUGAAUUAAACAAUGACAAAAAGUAUAUCUUCAGUAUACAUGAAAAUUCAAUCAGUUCUUGUAGUAUCUUCAAAAGAAUGAAGCCACAAGAAGCAAAAUUUUCUUCAUAUGUGUGGAAAUAUGAGCCUUCACCCCAAAUAAAAUCUACUGAGGCCUAUAAUGUUAUAUCUGUUGGUGGCUUUAAAAUCACGUAGAAGUAAAUAACCUGAUGUUAUCUCAAUGCAAUUUAAAUGACCACGACAUAAUCUACCACUAUAAAAUUGAAUACAGUUAGUUGACAUAUUUGCUAUGAAAUCACAAAGAUGAGGCCAUGAUGGUUAAGGAUCAAAUUAGAAUAGUUUUAUUAUCUAACAAAGAUAAAAAAAAUAAUUAAGGUUAGUAACUAAUAAUGACAAACUUUGGGUUCACUUGAAAAAUAUGCCUCACUAAUCCAAAAGAUUAAUAUCAAAGGGAUCAAAUUAGAAUCACAAUGUAAAUAAUCCUAGAGGACUAUGACUUAUGUGAAAAUAAAAUUUGAUAAGCCCAGCCUCAAUGGUAAUGGUAUUCUCAUUUUGUAGCCCAUCUCUGGAGAUAACUUUUAAUAUUUUACAUUUCAGACAUAUAUUAUAAGAAGCUACACAUUAAAUUAUAUGGUAUUAAAUUUUACCAUGUUGCCAUAUAUCAAAUUAAUGAGUCAAUUGAAUUUGAUAAAUCAUUUUUUUUCAUCAAAUCGAUUGAUUAAGAAUUCUCCAAGCAUUUCAAAAGACUUGACAAUUCAGAUAUCUACACCUGAAACGCAGAUGAAAGUUCAGACUUUAAAAAUCAAAAAAUAAAAGUUGAUAAAAUUUUGAAGAAAAUAGCUAACUUGUAAAUCGAAGCAGCAAUUGGAUAAGAACAAAUCUGAGAAGGUUGGAGAAGGAUACAACAACAUGGAUUGUAGAACAAAAAAUUUAAAAAAUAGAAUGAAUGGCAAUGUGAAAGUAAGAUACUCAUUGUAAAACCUUAACGCUAACCUUCAAUCCUACAAAAAAUACUUGCUUAUUUUAAAUGAAUGAACGGUUAAUGAUUAAUAGGCUAGAACACUAAAAUACAAUCCUUUUUCAUUACAACAAAAAACAUUGGUUAUUAUCAUUUUUUACCAGGUUGACUUCCAACUUUCUUUUUGAGCCUCAAAACUGAUAAGAUCAUAUGCUUAUGCUGUAAUAUUGUACUUAUGCUUUGUAUUUAAGUCUAGAUUAAUAUAUAGAAACCUUUUUAUGUGCUUAUACAUCAGCGUUGAACGCAUUAUUUGUAGUUCAUACACAAAUAUGCAUUAAAACCUUUGUAAUUAUAGUUCAACAACAAGCCACAAUAAUAAUAAUAAUAAACUUAAUCAUAUAUUUAGAACAAACAUAAAUUUUAUUAUGAACGUAACAAUAACAAAGCUUAACAAAUUUUCUUUUGAGAAUCACUUCAUUCUAUCAUAUAUAUGAGAUUGUUGUAUUUGUGAUAAAACAAUACUCUCUAGCAAGCAUUUAUAAAUGGACAAGUUACAAAUUACAAAAAAGUUUUAUGAAUAAUAUUGAUUCGUUAAGAGCGAAAUUUUUGAAUCAAAUAACUAUAUUCUUCUAAGAUAUAUUUAAUUUUACUAAAAAAAAUAGCAUUAGGCAUUGUCCUAUAGUUGAAUAUAGCACUCAACAAAUAUACUAAUAAGUCGUUGGCAUAAAAAUUAGUUCAAAAACUCAAGUAUUAACAUCAAAAUAUUAGAGCAUACCUCCACCUAUAGGUCCAAAAAAUAAAAAUGGAAGAACUUGACAUGAGAUUAAAACAAAAAGUGACUUCUUACUUUGCUGAAAUGGUAAAAAAAGUCAGUCAAAUCGGAUACGAAUAGAAUCUGCAACAGACAUAUUCAAAGUUUGAAAAAAAGUCUAAAAAAAUACAGUACUAUCAUAAUUUGUUUUAACUAAGAGUUCAAUAUAGCCUUCAACUUCAACGGUCAUGAAUUGAGCCAAAAGAAUAAAACGUAAAACAAAGGAAAAUAUGUACCUAACCUCUGGAAAAUAAAAUAUUGUGAAAAUUAGGACAGCAACGUAGGAAAGACUACUAAAUUAUAACCUUUCACUUUGUAAGCAAAAUACAAUAUUCAACUAAUAAAAAAAUUACAUUUGUCAUAUCUUCUUCUUAUGCAAAGUAAUUGCCAUAUAUCUAGUUUAAAUAGUCCCUUCACUUCUUUCGGGGGUUGUUGAUAAAAGAAGUAGAAGGUACCAUUUGAAGAAGUUGACUUGGCUAGGAAGUUAGCCACUUGUUGGCUUCUCUAUAACAAUCUGCGGUGCUUAUGUCUACCCUUUCUAUAGUCUUGGAAGUUUGUUUCAUAGGUUUUUUCAGCUUCAAAUUAUUGGUGUCUUUUUUCUUGAGCAUACUUGUAACCAACAAUGAGUCCAGCACCAAAUCAUAUUUGUCAUAUCUAGAUUGAUUGCACCAUUUCGUUGCAUAGUAUGCUGCCAUUGAUUUUGCCUGGUUAUUAUUUUUACAUUAAAUUGGGAUUGAUAAAUCCAUAAUGCGAUGGUUGGUAUCAUCUCUGAGAACCUUCUAAUGCCAGCUCUGAAAGUACAUUCUUGUAUGUAGCUUUCAUCUGGGUUGAAUUUGAUCCUUUCAGUUAUAGGCCUGGACCAGACAACUUGCCACCAUCUAACAAUAGGUCUGUCCCUUUCAAUUUUUGAAAAAAUUUGAAAUUUUUUUUCUAUUAAGUCAAAAAUUGGGAAGGCAACAAAGAUAGCUGCUUUGAUGUUCUAUAAAAUUUGCACCUCCAUUCUAGUUGUCAAAAAUUUGGUCUAAUCUCUAUAUCUACAGGAUAUUCAGUUUUUCAGACUUCUCAUGCUAUACACAUGGGGUGAUUUAUUAUACCAUUUUAUGCACAUUGUUGGUAGUGUUCAUAUUCCACCAAGGACUGAAGAAAAUUCUAAGGUUUCGCCCUUGGUGAUUAAUUCCAAGGGGAUUUUCAAAGUAAUUCUAUAUGUGUUAUACCAAUCUCACUAUCACUGAACACAUGAUGAAUUGAUUCAUUUUGAGGUGUUGUGUCUCAUAGGCAUGCAGUAUUCAUAGACUGGAUUAUCAAGUCUUUGAAGAACCUCAUCAAAAAAGAGCUUUUUUAGCACCGUUCUCCAAGUAAGAAAGGAUAUUUUGAAAGGUAAGAACUUGUGCCAAACCUUACUCAAUAUGCCAUCAUUCUUUCCCAUUUUUCUUAUGCUUUGCCAAGCAGAAGAAAUUGUAUAUUGUCUUCAUUAGCAUCCCCAACAUGAAUAUUAGCAAUAUAUAGGACAAUAUGUUCAGGGAGAUCUUCCCCUUAUGUAUCCAUGUUUCAGUUACCACCAUCGAUAUAAUCCAUAACCUUGGAGUUAUUAUUAUGCACAUGGUCAGGGUAUAGAAUAGCCAGUGGUCUUUUCUCUCACCAAUUAUCCCACCAUGUCACAAUUACCACUUAAUUGUCCAAAAAUGCUAGGUUCAACAACCUCUCAAGCAUUCACCAUGAACUUUCAAGCUUUUGAAUUACCGACAGUCAAACUUUUAAUAGUAGGAUGAGUCCUAUGACAAUACUUAACUUUUAUAAAAUCAGCCCAAAGAGAUUAAAUGGUUCUAAACCUUCACCAUCUUUUAAUGGCCAAGGUUUUAGAAAUGUCAUGCAUGUUUCUAAUACCGAUAUCAUCUUCAUCUUAAGGAACACAAAGAUUUUUCCAAGAUCUCCAAUGAUACUUAUCUCUGGUUUAAUUUAAAAACCCCAAAAAUCUAGCAAAAUUUUUUUUUAAUAGGUUAAUAGUAUCAAUGGGGGGUCAACAGAAAAAAGAACAAAGAAAGUAUUAAUAGGGAGUGAUUGAAGAACAUUUUUGAUCAAAUCAAUUUUUCCCCAUAGAUAAGCAUCUUACCCUGCCAACCAUUGAGUCUUUUCACCAUUUUUGUAACCAGAUUAUCAAAGUAAGAAAUAUUUUUUAUGCCAAUAUAAAUGAGGCAACCCAAGUAAGUAAAGAAUAAGUUUUUGGUUAUUAUAUUUUCAAAAUCACACCACGUUGUCAAGAUGACCAGUCUCUGAUCUUCUUGUAUUUAUUCACUUUGCAAUAUUUGAAGUAUGUUGAUGCAAUUCAUCUUGAUACUAAUCACUACAAGUAAAAGACGUAGUUUGAAGGCACUUGAACCAAAAAACUAAUGUUUCUCAAGCUAAUAUGACACCUACAUCAAAUAGUAAAUGAAUAAACUACCAAAAUAAAAGAAGUAUCUGAAACGCCAUAAGGGACACAUAACAACCAUCCAGAAAUUUAAACUUAAUCUAACUCAAGGGCACUGGCUACUCCAUCAACUCAAUUUCAUUGAGUAAGUGAGGAUGUUAGUCAUCAUAGUUUGAACUUGAAAUCUUUUGUAGGCUUAUCUCGUUGAUUGACCUUUUAAUCCUGGUCAUUCAUUGCUCAUCGAUGUGCCAAAAGGGCCUCUUUUUUCUUAAGUGGCAUCGUUCUAUAUAAUUCACGUCUUCUAGCAUUUUUGUCAACAUUUAUUUUUCAAAAGUUUGACCAAUUUUGGAAUUUCUAUUACUCGACAUUUUUACGAUCCAAUUUUUUGUAUAAAGUCUUGGAGAAAACAAUAAGAGAAAAACUUUAUUACACAUUUCAUACAAAGUAAUAAUUAUACUUGUACUAGGAAAGUAACUUUUUAAAAAUAUAAGAGGCAUUUAUUAACAGAAUAAAAUAAGCAUUUGAUGCUUUAUAUUUUUAAAAAAUCAUUAAUCAAAAUAUUUAUAAUUAAAAAAAUAAAUUGAAUAAUUUAUACUUACCACAUAGUCUAAUGUAGAAACAGGCAUACAGAUAGCUAUCAUCGAAGACGAAAAUUGUAAAAUAGACAGUUCAACACAUAUAAAUUACAUAAGUAGAAAUAGGUGGAUAAUUGGGGAGAAAAAAGUGACAAAAUUAAUAAGAAAAAAUAUGAAAUAUUAACAGUUGUAUAGUUCAAGGAUAAGGACGUUAAUCCUGAUAUAAAUUCAGUGUAACCUAUACAAUGUUUGGUUUCGAGUUUAUAUUAGUUCAAGUGAGAGUAGUGAGAGUAACAUUAUUCAGUGGACACCAUAAUACAUUAUUAGAUUAAUGAAUUGUAAAUUUGAUGUUCUAUCAGUGUUUUCAAUAAACACCCUUUUGGCUUUCAUCUUUUUUCUGGAAGUUUUGAUGAGUUGAAAUUCAAAAUGCAUGUCUUAUGCAUCUCUUUGGUCAUUUUUUCAAAAAUAAAUAUAUGCUCACUUUGAUUGUUGAGGUGUGUUUGGAUAACUUUUAGAAAGAACAAAAGUUAUUUUCCAGUGUAGAAGCUGAAAAAUGUACCUUUCUCCGAAGCACUUUUGGAAUCUUUAUCUUGGCCAAACACGUAUUGUUGUUGUUGGUCAUGUCUUCGGUGAGUUGAAGUUUUGUUAUAUCCUGCUCAUGUCUAAUUACUUAACUCUAAUGCUUAUUCUGCCUACAUCUACCCCUCAUCAAUCCUAUUACAGCCAACCUCUCUCACUACCUAAUCGGGGCAUCUGUACAUCUCUCUUUCACCUGUCUGUACAAUCUCAACCUCAUUUCUUGCAUUUUGUUCUUCAUGAGACCAUUACCUCCUUGUCUCAUAACUUCAUUCCUAAUUAUAUCUCUCCUAUUAUGAACACACAUUGAGGCCUCCAGGUUAUUUAUAUCUUGCCAUUGUACUGGUACUCUAAGUUGGUAAUGUACUCCUAACUAACCAACAAAUUUGCAACUGCUUGCUCAGUUUUGGUACUUUUUUUUCUAGUAAGCUUAUAGACUUACCUUUUCCUCAUUGCAAAGAAAUUUGACCACAUUUUACUUAUUACAGUCAUUAAGUCUCUCAUAUUCCAACUAAGCAUAUUAACCAUCUCUUGCAUUAGGAAUGGUAUUGCUAUCCAUAUUUCUCCAUUGUCCAUGUUCACACCGUUCCUCUACCAAACUUGAAAGGAGUUAGAAUUAGCUAUUUGCUGCACUUGCCUUGAAAGUGUAUGUGGUGAGGUCUUUCAGUGAUAUUAUAGGUGCUUACAAAAUAGAAUGGCAAACCUAAAGAGCUAGAAAUACACAACGAUGGAACUUUAUUUAAAUUCAAGAACCUCACAUUUUUAAUAAAUUCGAAAGUUAAUAUCAUGUGCUCUUGAUAAUCAGUCACUCAAUGCUUUAGUUACUCCUACUAAAUAGAAGGCAACAACUCUCCAAAUCUUGAAGGUUUUAUCCACUUGAAUUAGAUGGCAUCAACGCUUCAUGUAUUUCGGAGUCAUAUGUUGCAUGUGUUGUGAAACCUUAGGUCAAAAAUGUAAUCGCAUAACUUUUUUAUGGUUUUUUUUAACAAUUCUCAUGUUUCUAACUUUUAAACACCAACUAUAUUUUAUUCCACAUAUAAUAUAUCUAGUGAUCGUAUAAAAGAAUAGGGUUAGUUUGUGUUUGACUUCAUAAGGUACAAAAGUAACAUAACAAGUCUAUAAAAGAAUUAGGUCAUGUGAAGAAGCUACUAAUCUUUGUAAUGUGAUUGUCAGCAAAAAGGUUCAUUUUUCGCUUUUAAUCUAUCAGUGAAGUAACAAAGUACAUUAAAUGACUGCACAAGUAAUGCAUCUGAACUGAGCAUGUAUAAUUUAUACCUCGAUUGAAGCUCUCAUAAAUCUCCUCCGGGUGUAGUACACGAUACAUUUUUUUCUCCUCACUAAAUUUUCAAGUGCCAACCAUUGUAAAUCGACGUUCAAUAUUCAUCUUAAGAUGUAUCUAACACAUGCAACACAUAAAACAACUUAGUCAAAAUUAGAGAACACCAAACCCUGAAGUUUUACUAUCAAAACUGAAACAUGAAAAUAGUUAAAAACAGAAAAAUCUAAAAGUCACCUAAGUUUGAGUGCUAUUUUAUAAAUACAGAUAUUCAACAAGCAAAGGCUCAAUUUUAUUUCAAAUUGUGAAACACUAAGUAGUGUAUGAAGUUUGCUUCAAUUUUAAUUUUUAAAAAAUACAUAAAUUGUGACAUAUGAAGAAAAUAAGUCAUCACUUUGUAACUGAUUGUGAGAAAUUAAAAGACUGUUUGUACUGAAUUAAGAAAAAAAUAAUGAAGAUUCAAAAUUUCAUCGCCAGAACAAGAGAGUCUGACAAAAUGGAAAAAAAAAAUAAAAGGAGCAAAAUAUGGCUAGAAUUUCCUUGCAAACUUACAGAAAAUUUAAGUUUAACAUUAUUUUCAUGUAGAAAUCUAAGUAGCCUAAUUUCUAAUCAUUAAGUUAAAUUAGAUUUAAGAAAAACCACUAAAAAUCAAAUGAUACAAUAUCACACAUUAUUAAAGAACAGAAACAAAAUUUGACAAAGCAUUGAAGAAGUGGCUAACCUGGAAAGUAGAAGAAAUAGUAUAAUCUGAGAAGAAUGAAUCAAAUUUGACUUAAUAUUGGAGUAGCUGGCCUAAAAAUUUAAAGUAAAAAUAAGAACAAAGGAAUGGAAAAGACUGAAAAAAACACAGGAAAAAUUUCAAAAUAAAUUUAACGAAAAGAAAAAAAUAGAAAAGACACAAAUAUUGAAAGAAAAGUAUCUGGCUUAAGAGCUGAAAUAUGAAGAUGAAGAGUUAUUUAAUUGUAUUUUUUCCCUUUUUUUAGAGAGAAAAAAAUUUGAUUCUUUUAAAACUUCAUUGUACCAUUACUAAUCUUAUAAUUACUCCUUUGCCCUUAAAUGAAAUUAAAUUUGCUAAUUGUCAUUGGUUGUUCAAGACCGGCUCUUCUAUCUAGUAGAAAAUAAUCAGUACGGUAUUCAAAAAUUUUGAUACUAUUGACUCGUUAAUUGACACUUAACUAUUAUCUUUUGUGUUAAUUGUGAAAGCUCACCAAACUCCAUGUUGCAUAAUUGUUGCAGUUUCCACAUUAUAUAAUUCUCAAAAAUCCUCAUAGCAUGAGUUAAAUAAAUUAAAUUUAAAUUAUAUUUAAUGCCAAUUUAUUUAACACUUGCAAACCGCGAUGACCUGCUAAAUAUAAUUUUAUUUAACACAUAAAUAAUUUUAUUUUACCUGGUCUUUAUAUUAAAUAUAAAAAUUUCAUUUUAUCUGUUCAUUUAAACAAAUCAAGAGAAUUUUUUUAUUUUUUUCUCAUACUAUCUUUAAUAUUAAAUAACUACAUAAAGUAGUAUUAUUCAAUUUGGAGCUUUAAGGCAUCUUUAACAAUAUUAGUUUAGUAAAAUAUACCUUUAGUUAAAAAAUUUUAAAGAUAUCUCAAGUCAACAUGAAUCAAGUAAUAUAAACCGUGAGUAUAAUUUUUUUUACUAGCUCUCUGGUGAGGGAGAAGUACUCGAAAGAGAUCAAGGAUAAAACUAGAGAAGGGGAAAUGAAUGAGAAACUAAUACUAGAAAAUUAGGCAUGUUCCUUUUGGUUGGUUGAGUAGAAAAAUGAACUAGUAAAGUUUGCAUAUGAUUUAGUGUUAAUUUUAAGUAUUCCAAGAUGUUUUUAUAGAACUCUUUUAAAAGCACUUGCAACAAGUCAUGGAGCAAUUAAAGAACUCAAACAAAAGAAUAAGAAAAAGGUUGAGAGAGAUAUAUUAGUAAUUGUCAAUUUAAUUUAUUAACGUGUUUAUAAAGCAAAUAUGGGAAACAUAAACAUAUCAAAAUCCUUGCCAUAUUGGGGGAAUACAUAUACACGGAUUACAUUCAUUUCUUGACAAGCUUAUCUCAAUUCCAGAGAUUUAUAUUCGCGUCUUCUAUGAGAAACAGAAGGUGGCUGUAGUUUAAUGGUGAAAAUUCUACGUUGUGGCCGUGGAGACCUGGGCUCGAGUCCCAGUACACACACAUUCUAAACUCUUUUUUCAACCUUAUUUAUCUACUUACUUUCGUAUUUGUAAUAGAAGAAGAAAGAAGCUUCAACAGAAAUUAACAAUAUCCCCCACUUAACGUCAUUAUUUUGUGCAUACAUACACGCACCAAUUAAUCAACCAGGACGUUUGCAGUAAUUGUAGUAGUUACAUGGGCGUUGUCCAGGGUUCUUUUCCCCUAUGCAAUUGCCGUAAAUUUUCUCGUUGCAGACCGGUGGCCGCUGAAGACCCUUGUAAGAGAUGGUAUUUCCGUCACUUGCAAGACUAACCUCCCAAUUUAUGUCAUCCAAUUCGUUCAUCAAUUCUCCGGAAGCAUCAGCUACACUGCUGUUCACCGCGGCGUGCGUUACCGAAGAAGCAGAGAGCAAAAGCUCCCCUAUCAUCACCACGGAUAGGAAGAAAGUGAAGCUCCCCAUCUUAGAAAUCUCACCCUAUUAUUGGUUGUGUUUCUAUGAGUAAGGAAAAUGAUGAAAAGUGUACCCUAUUAUUGGUUGUGUUUCUCUGAGUAAGGAAAAUGAUGAAAAGUGUUCACGGAGAAUAAAGGGAUUUUUUUUGGAGGUCCCUACCUAAUUCAUUAUUAGAGAGGAAAGAAACACUGCAGAAGAUACAAACGUUUUACCAGUUCAUCUCUUUUGUCCAUUUUUGCGUUUUAAAUUUGGCAAAUUGUUCUUCAGUUUGACGCUAGUUGUAUUAUUUUAGAACUCAUGAUUGAUUAAACGAACGAUAGAGUGAUAGAUGCCUAUUCCCCUUCUCAUAUAUAGCUUAGGUUAAGUAAAAUAUGCUCUUUUUCUUUUGUUUUUUCAUCCGGUGUUGUUCACAUUGGAGCCUGACUAAUCCAAAUUCUUGCCGGGAAGUCCCCUAUGGGGAGGUAAAACACCCCUACCAAAAGUGACUCCAUACUUAGGGCUUGAACCUAGGACGUCUGGUUAAGAAUGGAGGAGUACUUGCCACUCCACAAAAACCUUUGGUGGUAUAAAUGAUAAGUCCACAGAUACUGCUAACAAGCUAUGUCAACAUUAGCCCUACCCAUCUCCAAUUUCCAUGUGGACGACUAACAGCUCUGGCCAAAACAAAAAUAGACCACCUCCUGGUUUUAAAAGAUGGAAGUAACGGAUGCCUAAAUGUUGAAGUUGGACAUGGAAAUACUGGAAUCAACUGUAAAGUAUAACUGGAAACUGUCAUCUCAUAAAAUUAUCUCUGCAAAAUUGAUAGGAAAGAAAGCAAGUACAGCUUUAAAAACUCAAAAGAAAAUUUGGCGCAUAAGGAAAAAUGUCUAAAUUUCUACUUGAAAGAGAUGGCUCUGUAUGGGCACUAACUAAUCCUCUCUCCAAAAAUUUAGAGAAGAUUUCCGCAAAUAACUAAUAAAAGCAACCUUCAGCGGAUCACUAAUCCUUGCAUUGUUUGUGUGCUAUCUUCAAUUAUCUCGUUAGCAUGAAUGGUACUAAUAACCCUUGAAAUAUUUCCCUGCAAAUAGUUGAAACUCGUCAACAUUAAUCAUAUAUAAAGAGCAGAAUAACUUGGUGGUGCAUUUUAUAUUACACUAACAUAACUCAUCAUAAAUGAGAACGAGAGGUAAAGGACAUCGAACUAGAUGAAACAGGAGGACAACAGGAAUAUGCUGCAUCACUACGUGUGUAGGGGCUCUAGCAGAGCAGCAGCAGCAAUCAGAGUAACUAGCCACACCCACUCUUGAAACUCAAAUUGACUAUAAGAAUUGAGUUUAAGAAGAAUGUGACUUACCCUCCAAAUCGCAAGCUUUGCUCGAAGCAACUGCCACUGAUUUGGCCCAAAUACACGCUCUGUACAUUGGCUGCACAACAUCCACACAAAGGAAAAGGAAAAAGUUAAGAAUAAUGAACAAUAAAAGCUUAACAGGAAAAGGAAAAAGUUAAGAAUAAUGAACAAUAAAAGCUUAACCAACCAGAGCUAAUUUCUCAAACCAGUGCAGAGGCAAUGAUAAUAAAAGAUGGCGACCACAGAAAGCACACCUCACAAUUAUUACUUAGUUCAUUUGAUCUAUCUUGCAGACAAGUAACUCAGCUGAAAUUGCCUUAACAACCCACGACUCCACCUCAAUAUCAUCAAUCUGCAAAGAGCAAAAGACCAAUGGAAAGACCAAACGGUGGAGCACGAAUACAAACUACAAGACGGACAAUAAAAGUACCUUCAAUGUGUCUUUGAUCGUGGAAUAAGGAAUUUGACCGGCUUCCAUCAUGCCAAGAUCUGCCAAGGUCAAUAAUCUCAUUUUUCUUUACACAAUCUUCAUGGAGAAGUCCUGCAGCAUUAACUGGAAGAAUCAGGCCAAGGGCUGAAGGGCAGCGUUUCAAAACUCAAGGGUUCACUCAUAAAAUACACCAAACUUCCAUUUAGCAGAAACACAAGUACUAACCAUAGGUUUUUAACAAUUCUGAACUUGCCUCCUGGAAAUUCAAGUAAUCAUCUAGCCUUCCAGUGAGAAAGAUCUUCAGAAGCUGAUGUGCUAGAGCAUAUUUAGCAUAUUUCUCCAACUGUACUACAGCAGGCAUAUCUAGCAAGCCGCACUGCCGUAUUCAAAGCCAAGAGUAAAUAUGGCAAGAAAGAAAUGCAGAUUUAGUAAGCUCUCCCAAUUAUUUCCUUAUUUAUAUCAUUUCUGAUAGGUCUUAGAUAUAAUCAUGUUAGUGUUUGGGCAGUUUGUUUGUACAUAGUCUAUUCCAACUGCAGCUCGUUACAGCACACAAGCACAUGUAUCGGGUAAAUGUAUCACCACGAUUGGAGUAGAUUUCAACUCCCCUUUGAGACUACUAUUCUGCAUUAAAUCUUUUUUAAAUCUUCCAACAUCAGUUCAUGAGAAUCAACUUGUUAGAAGAAAGAGAAGAAAGUCCCACAUUGGUGGUUAAUGAGAUGGGCGGUCUCCUUAUAAGGCUUGGGCAAUCCUCCUCCUCUUGAGUUAGCUUUUGGGGUGUGAGUUAGGCCCAAGACCAAUUUUAACAUGGUAUCAAAGCCAAACCCAUCUCACCCAAUGUUGGGCCUCCGGAUUGAGAUUCGGGAGAGAUUUUUCACGCCCAGUUAAGGUUUGGGCGUGAGGGGAUGUUAGAAGAAAGAGAAGAAAAUCCCACAUUAGUAGUUAAUGAGAUGGGUGGUCUCCUUAUAAGGCUUGGGCAAUCCUCCUCCUCUUAAGCUAGCUUUUGGGGUGUGAGUUAGGCCACAUUGGUAGUUAAUGAGAUGGGUGGUCUCCUUAUAAGCUUUUGGGGUGUGAGUUAGGCCACAUUGGUAGUUAAUGAGAUGGGUGGUCUCCUUAUAAGGCUUGAGCAAUCCUCCUCCUCUUAAGCUAACUUUUGGGGUGUGAGUUAGGCCCAAGAGGGAUGUUAGAAUAGCUCACUCACCUGUCUUGAGCAAUCCUCCUCCUCUUGAGCUAGCUUUUGGGGUGUGAGUUAGGCCCUAGAAGGGAUGUUAGAAUAGCUCACUCACCUGCAAGGGCAGCUAAUUCAACUUCUCCUUCCAAAGGAAAUAACCCAAGAGGGGAUUUUAGAAUAGCUCACUCACCUGCCUUGGGCAAUCGUCCUCCUCUUGAGCUAGCUUUUGGGGUGUGAGUUAGGCCAAAAGGGGAUGUUAGAAUAGCUCACUCACCUGCAAGGGCAACUAAUUCAACAACUUCUGCUUACAAAGGAAAUAGGACCUCAAGAUUAUCCUCACACUCACGGACUAGUCUCAUUAGAGUCUCCGUAGUAAAGAUCGGCUGAUGAAGAGCAACCUGUGUAAAAGGCAGACGCAGCAAUCCCCAAGAACCAUCUCCCCGUGUAUGGAAACAAAGUCUUUACGGAUGCUCAUCAUUUCUUCGCUGAAUUCAUUGUCUGUUGCAAGAACUCCAUCUUGGCCACUCUUCUCCUUCACAUGUUCUAUUCUUUCCUUCAACUCCUGAAAGCGGAUAAUGAAGUCUUCUUCUUUAUCGACGUAGAAAUUGUUGAACUUUUCGAGUUCCUCAUUGAGAAUUCUAAUAAACCAAUCCUGCAGUUCUGCCGGCACCGGCGGAGGAGCAGGAGGAGGAGGAUUGCCCAAGCCUUAUAAGGAGACCACCCAUCUCAUUAACCACCAAUGUGGGACUUUCUUCUCUUUCUUCUUCUCUUUCUUCUAACACAAUUGAAAUGUGAUUUUACCUUUCUCAGAAGCUUUAGAAAAUAUCAAAUCAGCGGAAGUGAUCAUCAGUGAAGCCAAAUCUAACCAUCUAUCUUCCUUCAACUAUACAUUCCUGUGUCUCGGCACACAACCUAUUCACCUGAGGCUCCGCAAUCUAUAAACGUAUCAUAUUGCUCCAUUCAGAACAAAGACAAACACUACAUCCACAUAAUUCCAGCCUAAAAUUCACUCAACAAAAUCCGUCCGGCAUUUCAGAAAUUAACCAUUAGUAAAUCAAAUGCAGAUUGUUCAAAGCACUAAUUUUCUUAAAUAGGAAUGUAACUAGAUUACAUAUCCAGUCAAAACUAAAUAAUUUGUAAACAGGCAACAAAUAGAUAAAUAGAAAGUGUCAAGGUGAUUCUUCCCAUGUGUUGUGUCCUAGCCUUAGUGGACAAAGUUACCAUGUGAAUUUAGUCGAGGCACAAAAGCUAACCUGAACACCACUGUUAUUUUGAAAAGAAAUUGUGAAGGAAGAGAUAUAGAUUAACCUCUUGGCCAGGUUUACACCACUGUUAUUUAAAAAGAAAUUGUGAAGGAAGAGAUAUAGAUUAACCUCUUGGCCAGCGUCAGCCCAUCACGACGGAAAGCCACCGAUCUUCCUCGGAAGUAGGAACAACGGUCGUCAUUAUUCAUCUGGUUUAUCAGCGAUUGCAAAUUCGAAAACCCUCCGGGAAAUUGGACGACGGUUGGGGGCAUGGUACUGUAUUGAAACUUUGGUUCCACAAUUUCAUGAUUCAACUAGAGAACUUAUCCCCUUGGCUAAAAAUAUUGAGAGCUCAAUAUUCUUAAAAAAAAACUCUCCAUCUAAUUAUUGUUAGUCUUUAAAUUUUAUGUUUUUUAUAUUUUUUAAAAUAAAAAUUAAUACGGAAAAAUUUCAUAUAUCAAGAUGUUAAUAUACAACUUUUUAAAUUUAAUACAACUCAAAUAUAUAUAUAUAUAUAUAUAUUUGACCAUUUAAUUUCGUUAUAUGUAUUUAAAUAUUUAAUUUUUUUUCUUGUUUUCAUUGAGCGGUAAACUUUUAUUUGAAUAAUUCUUUUUUAAUUCUAUAUUUUUUUUGAUAUUUUAUCCUUUCACAGUUCAUAUUCAUCUUCUUCUUUUUUAAAAUUUUUCAUCAUCAUCUAAAUGAUUUUCUGUUGCUAAUUUUGUUCCAAUGCUCUAUUUAUUUUUCUUUAUUACCUUUUUUUCUUUCUGUAUAUAUUCUAUCUUUACUCUAUGAAAUGUAAAUUUAAUUUUUUAGGUCUAACUUCCUGGCAUCUCCUAAUUAUUGUUGUUUCAAUAUUUGCAUCAUUUUACAAAUAAAAAAUGCAUCUCAAGAGGGGGGAGGAGAAACAAAUAAGUAGAAAAAGUACCGUCUACUUAUUUGCAACAAUUAACGUUAAGUAACUUAAUAGACAGGAUUAACCAAAAAAAUAAAAUCCUAAUAAUAGAAAGUACCGUCUUGUUCUUUUCCUUUCUCAUCAUAUCAUCCUUCAUAUGGAGGUUGACGAUUCUCUUGUCCCUCCCCCUCACGCCACACCUCCAAAACCACCAGACAUUCCCACAAAAGUCAGCUUCAAAGAGCGAUUGUUUGCCUCAGAGAAUGUAAUUGACAUGGAAGUUGGGGAAUGCAGUAAAUCCCCAAAAGCGGCAGAUAUUAAUACUCCAAGCUUAAAUGAAAUUUCCACCAACUUUACAACCAUUACCCUAUCCCACGAAGAAAAUCGGGGACUACAAGCUCCUUGGAAAUUUUCCCUUAUAAUAAAACUAGUUGAAAAACGCAAUGCACAUCAAUAUUUAAAAUCCAAAUUACAACAACUCUGAGAUUUUAUGGAUAACACUCCUCUUAUCGAUUUGGGAUCGGAUUAUUAUAUCCUCAAGUUUUCUCAUCCCCAUAAUAUGAAUACUGUGUUAUGUAAAGGACCAUGGUUCCUUUAUGGACACUAUUUAUCAAUUCAAAAAUGGGUUCCUAAUUUUAUUCCAGAGAAAGUUGUUCUAAUAGAGUCAGCUGUGUGGAUACGCCUUUCUCAUCUACCUACGGAAUACUAUGAUAGCAUGCUUCUCCAGAGAAUUGGUAAUUCUAUUAGUACGCUCCUCAAAAUAGAUGUCUGCACCAGUUCAACAUUAAGGGGAAGAUACGCCAGAUUAUGUGUCCAAGUUCCUUUUGAUCAUCCCUUGUAAAAUUGGAUUCGGAUUGGCUCGCAUCUACAACAAAUAAUCUAUGAAGCAGAUGGCUUUUUAUGCAAAAAUUAUGGGCGAUUAGGCCAUACAGUUCGCGACUGCAAUUAUAUCAUCACAGAGUCAACCCCAUCAGCUUCCUCGCAACUCUACCUCUCCAAAGUAGGUUAGCACAACACUGACAGCUUCCUCUCCGACCACUAAAGAACGGUGUACGGUACAUUUUCCCAGGAAGAAAAAGGUAUCUAUAGGUAAAAAGCAAAGUGCACAGGUACCUUCUUCUUCCUCUUCGCCGAUUAACCACUCUACUUUUUUUAAAAAAGGCUACUUCUCCAAAAGAUGCUGAUGCUAAUUCUCUUAAAAAUAGUUAUACUCGCAGAACUGUUACAGAUCCCAAAAAGGAUUUACUUAGCAAUAAUAAAUUUAAGUCUCUAAUGUCUGCUAAUGCAAAUUCUCUAAUCUCUAAACCCCAACAAAUAAAUUCCUAAAGUCCUUUUGUAAUCUCGGAUUUACACGCUAAAUCUCCCUCAGAUAUUUCCAUUACUGUCCCUUUCCAAAACUCAGCAAUAUAACUCAAACCCCUUUAUUUAGCCCACCGGAGAAAUCAAUAACAAUCUCAUCUUCUUUCUAUGGCAACCGCAACCUGUCCAAUCGAGUCAUACCGUGUUCAUGCCAAUACCACAACACCCUCCUCCAAGUGCUCUUCAACACUCCUCAAAAGUUCUCGAAAGGGUAGGACGAACACCUCUCAACUGGGCCUCAUUCACAAAAAUUUCAAGUCUAAGGCAUGCGGCCCUUAUGGUGUUUCCAAAAAAUGAAGACAAAAAAUACAUUCACAAUUGCCUUCAUUCUCUAAUGAAGUGUUCGUUUGUCCUUCGACCAGCAGUGAAUCAGUCACUGGCAAAGCAUGUAGUGAUAAUGGCACCCACAAUGAGGCCAUGUCACAUUUCCGACCUGGAGAGUUGUAUGUUUGUUUUCCUUACCAUCACUCACAACCCCAUAGAUCAAGACACUUGUUUUAUUAUUUGGAAUACGCGUGGAGUGAAUAAUGCUAACUUUAGGUGCAACUUCUAUGAGCUUAUCUGCAAUCAUAAUCCUUGUCUAGUGGCCUUACUUGAAACUAAGAUGUCUAACCAUAUGGCUCUUAAAGAUGAAUUCACUUUUGAUGAUUUCUAUGAAGUUCCUACGGUUGGAAAUUCUGGAGGAACAGUGUUGAUGUGGUUAUCCCACGUUUUUUAUGUCACUAUGGAAAAUAGAACUGACCAAGAGUUAUAUGCAAAAAUUUAGGUAUACCCUAACUUUCCCCCUUGGUAUUUUUCAUCUAUAUAUGCUAGCACAGACAGUACUAUUAGGUCCCAGUUGUGGCAUAACCUUAUUAACUAUAAUGAGUCCAUUUAAGGACCUUGGAUGAUGGUUGGAGAUUUCAACAAAAAAUUUUGCCAACAAGAUAAAUGGGGGGACGAAAAAUUAAUAAUAAUAGAAGCUCCCUGUUUUGGUCAUGUAUUGAUUCUUAUAACCUCCUAGAUUUGGGUUUUGAAGAAGGGCGUUAUACUUGGUCUAAUCAUAGGAAUAAAUAUCAUGGUUCUAGACUUAUUAUGGAGCAAUUGGAUCGGGUUUUUGCUAAUGAACAGUGGCUUGAGUUUUUUCCCAGGUUACCCACCCUCCAAAAAUCCAUUCCGAUCACUCCUCGUUAUUAAUUACCCUUAAUAGUCGAUAUAGAUCUAGGGGAAGUAAGCCUUUUAGGCUUGAAAAGUUUUAAAUAAAUCAUCCCUUUUUUAAAAAUAUCGUGGAUUCUUGUUGGUCAAAUAAUAACCUUAUUACUGCUACUUCCCAACUUCGUGAUUCAGCUUUAACCUGGAGUAAGCAAACCUUCAGUGAUAUUUUUCGUACUAAGAAGUGCUUGCUAGCUCAUAUAAAUGAUAUUCAAAGUUCUCCUAACUAUCCACACAGUACCUUUUUACGAAACCUUGAACCCUCUUUAAUUACUGACUAUAAUAACACUCUUAAACUUGAGGAUGAUUAUUGGAAACUUCGUUCCCGAAUUCACUACUUAAACGACGGCGAUGCCAAUAUUAAGUUCUACCAUCUUUCGGUCCUUAAUCGUCGGCGAAUUAAUCGAAUCUGGCAACUGGAUAACUAAUCACGAUCUUAUUAUUUCUCAUGCCUAUGAAUAUUUCUCUGAUUGCUUCACUACUGACCAUUUGUCUUCUCACUGGAAUUUCAAUGAGAACUCGGUCACAACUAGUCAAUACCCAAACCUUGAAUCCUUUGAUCGACCCCUAGCUGAUCAUGAAGUCUAUAGUGCCUUAUUCUCCUUUAAACCAUUCAAAGCCCCCGGUCCGGAUGGCAUUCAUCAAUAUUUUUACAAAGAUCAUUGGAAAUCAGUCGAUAAAAGUGUGUUAGAAUGUUGCCAUCAAAUAUUCUCCUCCCAGUCUAUUCCCGAACCUUUAAACAAUACUUACCUAUGCUUAAUCCCCAAAUGUAAAAAUGCCAACUUGCUCAAAAAAUUUCGCCCUAUUGGUCUUUACAAUACUAUAUACAAAUUUGUUACUAAGAUCAUAGCAAAUUGGAUAAAGCCUUUCCUUUUUAACCUCAUUGGUCCUCAACAGACUAGUUUUAUUAAAGGGCGUCGGGCUUGUGAUAAUGCUAUUCUGGUUCAGGAAAUUUUAAACCAUGCUAAUAAAACCAAAUCUAGAAAAGGGUUUUUUUUCAUGAAAUUAGACUUAGGGAAAGCUUUUGAUAGGCUCAAAUGGUCUUUCAUUUAUCGUUCUCUCCAAUUCUUCAAAUUUCCUCAUAAUAUUACAACUCUUAUGAUGAAUUGUAUUACCACUAGUAAUAUAUCUGUAUUGAUUAAUGGCACUCAAACAAUUUUCUUCUCUCCUUCCCGGGGAAUUCGACAAGGUGAUCCGAUGUCUCCCUACAUUUUCAUAUUGUGCCUGGAAUUACUCUCUAAAUACCUACACAUCAAGUUGAUACUCUUCAAUGGGGUGCUAUUACACUAUCUAGAAAUGGGUUGGCCUUUUCAUAUUUAUUUUUUGCCGAUGAUCUUACUUUAAUAUCUCAAGCCACUCCUUCUUCCAUCUAUAAUAUUGCUACUUGCAUGAAUCUUUUUUGCCAACAUUCUGGACAAAAAAUUAAUACGUUGAAAUUCAAAGCUAUUUUUUCCAAAUUUUGCAACCUUCAUACUUUGGAUCUUGUUCAUCAACUAUUUCACAUUCAGCCUUUCAAGGACUUCGGUAAAUAUCUUGGCUUUUCUAAUACUAAUCCUGAAGCCAAGGAUUUUCAAUUUCUCCUUGAUAAUAUGCAUAAAAAGUUUUCUAGCUGGAAAUCAAAGUGUCUUACCCCUAUAGGGCGUCUUACUUUUGCUAAAUCUACCCUAAAUGUUAUUCCGGCUUACACUAUGCAGUACUUUACCCUUUCCACUUUCAUUUGUAAUGCAAUUGACAAAAUCCAGCGUGAUUUUAUUUGGGGGUCCACUAAGGAUAGGAAAAAAAUGCACUAUGAAGCAUGGGAUAUCUGCACUCAACCUACUGCUAAUGGAGGACUAGGUUUAGCAAAAGCCAAAACCAAAAACCUUACUCUUUUAGCCAGACUGUCAUGUCGUUUAUUUACUAAUUCUAAUGCUCUUUGGGCUAGUGCAUUGCUAGGUAAAUACCAUAAAAUGGGCUCAUCCAAUUCUUCUUUCAUAUGGAAAAGUAUAUUACAGGGAGGGCAGAUUUGCGCACCAAAUAUUUCCUGAAAACCCUUUACGGGUAAGGCAAUAAAUUUAUGGUUUGAUAGUUGGUUACCUAGCUCCCCUCCUCUCCGUCAAAUUCUCCACGGUCCUUUAACCAUGGAAGAAUUCUCUUAUAAAUUGUCUAAUACUUGGAAUGGCUCCUCUUGCUCGUGGGAAAAAAUUUCGAUGCAAAUCCCUGAAUAAAUUAAAGAAAAAUCUCUCACUGUUAAGUUGGAUCCAUCAACUACGAGGGUGGAGACUCCUUUUUGGGCUUCUACUUCUAAUGGUUUAUUCGCCACAACAUCGGCUUAUCACUAAAUUCUUGGGAAUAAUCUGCCCAAUUAUGACUAUCAUUGGAUAUGGAAGCCUGAUACUAUUAGUAAAUUUAAAUUUAAUCUUUGGCUUUAUUCCAAAGAACGGCUCCCUACCUUUAACUUUCAGCAUAAUAUGCCAUUGCCCCAAGCGCCUUAUGCUAUUUAAAUUGAACUUCAUGCUCUUACCGUAGGACUAGAACUAGCUGUUUCGCACAAUUAUCAACCCAUUAAAAUUGAAGUAGACUCUUUGGAGCUGCUAAAUCUACUUGAUUUUUCCAACAAUAUAUGUAAACCUUUAAUUUCUUCAUGCAGGUUGUUGUUGAAGAAACUGUAGAAUCCAGUGCUCCGGCACCUCUUCCGUGAAGCAAAUGGUGUUGCUCACUUUUUGUGUACAAAGUCUUCCUGUCUAUCAACGACUAACAAUGUCACUCUUUUGUCGCAGCCUCCCCCUGAAGUUCUCCCUUUGCUUCAGCCUGACAACCAGGAAAAAGCCAUUAGUAGACUAGUUAAUAGUUCUAUAUGUAAUAAACUUGCUAGUUGGGGGAACCUUCUGUAAUAGCCAGUGCACAAGACACUGGUACCUAUCAUGUAACUAUCUAAGUUUUUGUUUUAUUAAUAUCUAUUCCCGGUUAUCAAAAAAAUUCUUUUUUGCUAUUAAGAUAAAAGAAAUAAGCAAACCGUUAAGAAAAAUAAAUCGUUUUUCGUAUAGUAAAAAACACAUAAAGAAUAAUGUAUUUCAUUAAUUAAUAAUAAGUCGUCAAUUAUAUUGUUUGAAGCUUGGUUAAUAAUUAGCACCAAACAAAUUAUAAUAGUUAUUGCUUAAACGAAAAUAGAAUUUACAACAAUAAAAAAAUCAUGAAUGUUCAAAUUGCAGAAGUUGCAUAUAGAGAACAUACCCAUGCACACUCACACGCACACACCUUUUUUUUAACGUUAAUCAUAAAAAAUUGACGAAAAAUAAAUACAGAAUUAGUGUAUAAUUUUUUAAGCUCUUAUUCGAUAGCCCCUCUUACAAAUGAUCAACCUCCAAAGACUUUCUUCAUAAGCUUAAAUUUGAUACUAUAAAUAAUAAUAUAAAGAACACUAUUUCAAAUAUGAAACAAAAAAAUACUCUUGAUGGUCUCAUGAAAUUAAAAAUUGUGACUUUAUAUAGAUGAAAAUGGAGGAAUAUCAAAAGGUAUCUUAAAUUUUAUAAUUAAUUAAUUGAUUGGAGGUUAUGAAUAUGAAACUUAAAAGUCAUGAAGUUAAUAAUAUUACUAAGAGUAGAAAUUUAAUAAUUAAUGAGUUAUGGAGGUGAAAAUUUGAGAAUAAAUAAAAAAGACACAAAAUAUAUAUUCAAGAGCAUAUUAUGAUAAUUAUAUCUCUAGACAAAUCUUUUACUCUUUUUGUAAGAAACACAGAUUUUAUAUUCUUGAAAUUUCAUUUUCUAAUUAGAAAAUAUGAAUGAAGUAUUAAUUAAGAAUAGACAUUAAAAAAUAAAAAUGAAUAAAAGUGUAGUAAUUGACACAUUAAUUUUUAAUGAAUAAAAAUAUAGUAAUUGACACAUUAAUUUUUACACAAUCAAUAUAUAGAGUUAAAGAGAGUGAUUUUUGAUUUUCCUUUUAAUACUUAAAUAUUAAAAAUAAGGAGAAAACUCAACAAAUGUCCAAAAAAAGAAUAUAUAUGUUUUGCGAAAAUUUUGACUUUUGAAGAGUCGCCACUUAAUUUAGAAAAGGAAUUAAGAAACCUUUAUAAAAUACUUUAAACGAUCCAAAACGGAUAAAUCGUUUAAGUUAGAGAUUCUAGGUAAGCGGUUCCUAUUAACGUUUUAGGAAGGUUUUAGGCACCUUAAACAUCCGCUUACUUGCGAUUAUCCGGACUGUUUGAAAAUAUUUUUUGACUAACUUCAAAAAGAUUGAUUUGUUGAAAAGUGAUCAAUUUUUUAGCAAAGACUUGUGUACAAUAGAUUUAAGCGACUUAGUAGGGAUUUUAACUAAGUCUAAACAAAACUAAUAAGCAAAUAAACACAUAAAAGGGGAAAGAGAGGAGAAAGUAAAAGAUUUAGGUCAUUGAGCCCUAAUCAACGAGAUCUGUCAUAGUCUAAUUGGAUUUUCGAUCCAUUUCACCUGUCCUAAUCUAGUUUUGAGCCUUUGGCUCGAGUCUCGCUCCACCUGUAUUAAAUUUACAACUUUGACUUCGAGGCCCAAAAGACAUGAAUAAUGAAAUGAAAAAAUUGAAUAGAUAAUAAUAAAGGACGACAAUGAAUGAAUAAAUGAAAAUAAGACUCUCGCAUCUCUUUGCCUCUUUAAAUAUGGGACUUUAACCCCUUUUUUUUCUUUCGACUUCUCGUAUCCAUAUGCCAUGAGAUUAUCUUUGAACAUAGUCUUCCGAAAAAUCGACUCAGGACUAGACGGGCCUCAAUGGCCCAUAAGACGGGCCUCAAUGGCCCAUAAUGAACAUGCAAAGAAAAAAGAGUCCAUAUAGGACUCAAACAUAUCCACAUGCAAAAAGAAAAAGUGAAGUAAUUAACAUAUAUCCUAAGGUUAAUAUUUAAACGAGUACUAAAUUAUCAUGUAUAAUAAAACAUGCAAAAUUAGUUUAAGGUAACUUCACAAUAUGUAACAUACAUAGAUACCAACAACAACAACAACAAAGAAUCCAGCUUAGAAAUCAGUUGAUAAAAUUAUGAUACACAAAAUGAGUUACCACAAAAACUGAUUCUUUUCUUAUGAAUACACUCAAAAUCCCAUAAAAUUAGUUGGAAAAGUAACAAAGGCUCAAAAAUAUGGAGUAAAAAAAGGUAGAUAAUGACAUUCAACUCGAUAAGAUGUCAUACGUUGAGUAGAAUAGGGAAAGGUACAAUCCUGAGUAAGCAAAUGACAAGAAGUAACAAGAAUAGAAAUGGAAAAACUCUAUUUUUGUAUUUUAGACACAAAAAACACCCGUAGCAAGUUAUAAACCUCUAAUGUAGUGAAAAGUUGAAUCUUUUAGUUAACUAUAACCAGGAACUCAUAAAAUUAGAUCUUUGACUAUGGGUUACAAUAUAAGUUAGCACAAACUCAACAUAUAAAUCAAAAGAAAGGAAAAUAAAGAGAGUCAACUCAAAAAAAAGUUCAUAUUUUACCGUAUAAAGGCAAAAGAACAAGCUUGACCAAGAUACUGGCUAAAAGAAGCAACAAAAAUAGAAGGUAAAACUCCAUUUUUUGCAAUUCAGACACAAAUUAAACCAAGUGGCAUCUUUUGACCCUCUAAAACAAGGCAAAAACUAAUUUUUUUUUAAACAAUAUGCAAGCAUCCAUUACAUUAGUUGACAAAAAUAAGCAAAGCUACAAGCUCUAGCAACAUAAUAACUAAAAGAACCAACAAAAACAGACAGUCCAAGAAACCAACUUGAGAUACCAACAGUACAAUACACCUAAGCAAAGAUCAUACCACCAAAAGCCCAAGCAACACACAGUAAAUAACCCAGGUAGCAUAUUUUGACUCUCUAAAACAAGGCAAAAACUAAAUAUUUUUAACUAAUAUGCUGGCUCAUCAAACAAAAUAACGUCAAUCACUUCAAACGGAUUCCUACAGCAAAUAAGGCGUCUACAGCAAACAAACCAGCAUACAAUAUUAUUGAAGACUUACUCGCAACUACAAAAGGUCGAGAUAGAACAGAAGCAAUCGAAAGCCCAAUGAAAUGGGAUAUUACCUGUUCGGGAGCAGCAAAAUGGGACAAUGAGUUAAUCGUCGAUAGAUCGAUCACCACCGAAGCUUCAGCGCUACUUCGACGAUUCCGAAAAACUCAACGGCUUCUAAACUUUCACUAAAAUAGAGAAAAUUGUUUACUGAUUUUUGCUCCAAAUAAUUUUUUUCUCCUUUUUCCCCUUUUUUUCUUUGUUUUUCUUUCAAGUUUUUGAACCCUCCUUUAGCUUCACAUCGGGUCGCUUAUAUAGAGGACAAAUUGGGAGAUUUCUCCUCAACCUUGAACAAUCGAAUUAGGACUCUAAUCUUUUCCUAAUUUGAAUUUUUCUCCCCUCAAAUUCAGAAUAGGAAGCCAAUAGGAAUAAGAAAACAAAAAAUCUCUCAUGAACCAAUGAGGGUUGGCCAAAUACGUAUGAAUUCGUAUGAAUUAUCUCGAGAUUCACGGAUUUGGACGUUGGAUAGGAAACGUAAUCAAUCUUCUAAAAAAUUACAGGUUGGCGAUAUGUUAGUUCGGGUUAGAUUUGGUCGCUGUCGUUGUUGGGUUUAUGGAUCGGGUGACGGGUUGACGAUUUUGGGAAUUGUUCGAAAUUGGGUUUUUGAGGUUGCUGAUGUUGUUAUUUGGUUGAAGCUGUACGUUGAAGUUGGAGUCGUAUUAUGGAGUUGGUAUUUGUACGUUGAAUUAUUGUUGCUGUUACGUGGGGAGAUACAGAAAUUGGAUCGGGUCAGAUGGAUAGGAUUGGGCCGAUUUGUGGUGGAGGUUGUUUGUUGAAUAAAGAGAAAAUGGGCUAGGCUGUAAAUUGGGUUGGAAGAAUUUGGACCUGUGGGCUGUUUGGUGGGCAGAUUUGGGCUUGGACGAAUUAGGUGAAAAUUGGGGUUAUUUAAUAACCCCAAUUAGAUUUAAUUGGGUCAAAAUAAGCCUAAUUAAAUUUAAUUGGAAUAAAAUAACCCCGAUUAAAUUUAAUUUGGUAAUUUGGAACUAUUUAGAAAAACCUCAAUUUGACUACAGGCUAUUCAAAAAUAAUCUCAAUUAAGAUUUAACCCAUUCUAUUUAAAUUUUGACCAAAUUAAAAGUUAAUUGGAUAAUUGCAUUGCAAUUGUGGUCAAUUUAGUUUCAAUUAUGAUCAAAUUUAAUAGAUUGAUUAAAUUGAAUUGAAAUUUGAUAUAAUUAAUACCUUGUCUAAUCUUGAGUUUCUCGAUUUAAAAAAAUCAAAAAAAUAUAUUUAUUUAUUAUUUUAUUUUCAGAUAAGUUAUUUUCAAAAACACGUGCCAUUUAAAUCAGGAUUUUAAUCAUUUAAAUUUAUUUUCAAGAUAAACUUUGAUUAAAUUUGAUAUUUCAUAAAAUAAAUGUUUAAGUAACCAAAUUAUAUAAUCUCGUAUAAUUGGAUACGAUAAUAUAUAAUCGCUACUUAAAACGAUAAAAUUACCCAGAUAAAUACUUUGAAAAGCUUUUAUUGAGAUGAAAUAAAUAUUUUGAUUUUAUUAAAAAUCGAAGAAACUCAGGAUUAAAUUUAAUCGUGGGGGACAAAAAUUAGGUGUCAACAAUUGCCCCUCUCUUUGGGAAGGGUGGAUGCAAGUAACCCUAGGCAAAGGGAGGUCGACGUUCCUAAUUUUUUGUCCGACCACAAAUUUGAAUCUGAAAGAUGUUGGCCUUCGCACGAGUUUCAUGUAUUUAUGGUUGGACCUCGGUAUCAGGUUUUCUACAUAUCUCAAGUUACAUGAGAAUUUAGGCCACUUGUGGUUCACAAAGUUUAAUUCAAAGCACAAUUUUCAAAAAAAUCACAAGUUAUCUCGAUUUUGGAGUUUUUGUUGAAAUCAAAAAGCUGGAGAAUAAUGAGAUUUGGGGGAGGUUGGAAUGCAGUCGAGUUUUCAAAAUAGAUCCCAACCUACAUAUCCCAAAGACUUAGGGAAUCAGACUACUUGGAGUUCGACUCAAUCGGUAGAAAAGAUGGUCUUUUAUUUCAGAUAGUAUUUGGCUCGGGAUGAGUGACGCAUUGAUCGAGUUACGAAAAAAAGGAUUAUGACCUCUUAACCAUGAGUGUGGAGCUCUUCACAUCCAUGUGUAAGAAUUUACGUACAUAUAAUUUCCCAAACUCUAAGUGAGUUGUCACCGGAUUUGAAUGAAAGAGAAGAUUACCCUCGGUAUGAGCUUAAAAAUAUCCUGAUGGUGAAGCUGAAAUCAGAAUAUCUCAAAAUUUCCACAUUCCCUCUAACAGAGAUGUGGUUGGAUGGUGGUGGAGACCAUCCUUUAGCUCGCGUCCAAAGAGUUUGACGUCCCUCUCUAGACUAUGUCCCAUUUUGCUGCUAAGAAAGAGUUUCAUGUUGUGCUACGUCCUAUCUGAAGUCAUCCUCACCUGUGAUUUUGAUUUGAUAUUUUCAUCCUCUCGGAUUCUCUCUACAAUACUUUAAACAAAAAGUGUUAGUGCUAAACACAAUUCAUGAAAGAGGUAUAUAGUCUUUACUAUAUCUCUACGUGAGUUGUUGCCUGAAAAAUGAAGUCAUUCCUUUCAUGUACACGUUUGGAAGGAAAUAACUUGCAAUAAUAGACAUAAUAACUCUCUUAGUUGUUGCAUAAUUAUCUCAUUUGUCGGUUGAAUAUGUCUUCAAAGUGGGGUGACCCCUUUUGAACACCAACGACACUUUAUGCAGAAUGGUCCUGCAACCGCUUAAUCUUGCGUUGAUGUGACAACCCUUUUGGUCACCUAUAAUGCUUUUUGUAUGUGGAAAGAUAAAUUUUCUGGUUAUUGACAAUAAUUCUUUGCAUAUGAUCUCGUGUAAGUCUUGUGCAUCUUUGUAUCGAUACGACUUAUAGAUUUCCUUUGAAUUAUCAAUUUUUAGAUAAUCUUGCGCAUUAUUUGAAGUUGGAUACGAGGCAACUUACAGAUAUCCUUUGAAUUGCUAUCUUUUAAGUAACCCUGCACAUUAUUCGACCUUAGAUAAGAGAUGGAUUACAGAUAUCCCUACAAAUGAUAUUCUCAGGUAUUUCUGCACAUCAUCCGACCUUGGAUACAAUAUGACUUUUAUAUAUGUUUCAAAUUGCUAGUAUUUAGCUAAUCCUAAACAUAAUCGAUCUUGGAUAUGACGCGGCUUAUAGAGAACCCUUGGACUUAUCAAUUUGACAAUCUCACAUAUUUUCCGGUAAGAAUUUAGUUACGACUUAGGAUAACCUUCGGACGAUCAAUUUUCGGGUAACCUUGCACGCUCUCCGGUUAGGAUAUUGUUGCAGCUUACGAAUGACCUAUGGGCUAUCAACUCACAGGUAAUCUUGUACACUAUCCUAUUUCAACUAAUAUGACUUAUAGAUGACCCUCAGAUUGCCAAUUUCUAGGAAGUCUCAUAUAUCGUUCGCUUUUAGACAGCGACUUAAAGACGCCCCUUUAAAUCACGUGCUUUUGAUGCAUUCAGAUGAUGAUUCAUAAAAUGAUGAGAUAUUCUUAACGCCAGCAUUUGUGUCUCGCAUGUCAACAGAUUUUAAAUAUUGAUGAUAUCCUCAACUCCAGCAUUUGUGUUUUACAUGUCAACAAAUAUUGAAUGUUGAUGAUAUCCUCGAUGCUAACAUUUAUGUCUCACAUGUUAAUAGAUAUUGAAUGAUGAUGAUAUCCUCGAUGUCAACAUUUGUGUCUUGCGUAUCAACAGAUAUUGAAUGCUGAUGAUAUCCUCGACACCAGAGUUUGUGUCUCGUGUGUCAACAGAUAUUGAAUAUUGAUUAUAUCCUCGAUGCCAGUAAUUGUGUCUCAUGUGUCAAUAGAUAUUUAAUGCUGAUGAUAUCCUCGAUGCCAGUAUUUAUGUCUCGCGUAUCAACAGAUAUUGAAUGCUGAUGAUAUCAUUGAUGCCAGUGUUUGUGUCUCACAUGUCAACAGAUAUUAAAUUCUGAUGAUAUCCUCGAUGCCAGUAUUUGUGUCUUGCGUGUAAAUAGAUAUUGAAUACUGGUGAUAUCCUCGACGCCAGUAUUUGUGUCUUACAUGUCAACAGAUAUUGAAUGCUGAUGACAUUCUUGAUGCCAGUGUUUGUGUCUUGCGUGUCAAUAGAUAUUUAAUGUUGAUGAUAUCCUCGAUGCCAGCGUUUAUGCCUUGCGUGUCAACACAUAUUGAAUGCUGAUGAUAUCCUCGAUGUCAGCGUUUGUGUCUUGCGUGUCAACAGAUAUUGAAUGUUGAUAAUCCUUUGUGUAAUGGCCCUCUUGACAAUAAAAAUGAUUUCACCUAAGUCUGUUUGUCUGUAUUUUUGCUUUCUAAAUGUUCUUGCACUCAAUGUAGACAGUUAGUAGACAUAAUGCCGCUCUCACUGGCGACCACAGUCAAAUUUACAGAAGUUUAAAUGACAUAUACUCGGCAUCAUAAUCUACAUGGCUUAAUCUGCUAUUCAUCCUUUUUUCAAAGAAGUAUUUAAAUAGCAGACCCACCAGAUAUAAAUGAAUGGGUAAGAUUCCCUUUUAAGGGUCACUCAAAUAUCGUUCUUUUCGCUUUAAUGAAUUUUGAGGAAGAAUUUCCACUCUUCUUCCUAUUGUGUGAUCCUUUUGAUUGUUGUAUUUACUGCGCUGACUCCUUUGAAUAUACCUACGCUCAAAGUAAAUAUUUAAUAGAUACAAAGUCGCUUAUGCUAGCGACUACUUUUAUAUAAAGAAUUCUAAAUACAAUAUUAAUAAAGAAAACAAGGCGUCUUUGUUUGUCCUUUAUAGGCAAUUUAAAAUGACCUCGAUAAAUGGGUAUUAAACCCAUCUUUGGGGCUACCAAAAAAUACUGUUCUUGAGAAUUAUAUGCUUUGGUGUGGCUCGCAACCCGCUUAGGGAUUUUUUGAAAAAUAUUUUUAUUUUUGUGUCCUUAUCCCUGUAUCCACAGAACAAUGAUUAGUUUUUUGAGUGAAACUACUCUGUGUUGACCUUCUUCGAUCCUUGGUUUGCUCCUCACCAUAUUUCGGGUACUUCGUUAUGUUGGGAGUUCCACCCUAACUCCUCAUUUCAAUGGAUUCCUAGGCAAUUACUAAGUACAAAGAUUUGUAUAGAUUUUUUGAAAGUAGUCUUAUUUUUAGAAAAUAGUUUCAAAAGUUUCUGUAAAAGCUUUAGAAAAUCUCUGUCAGUCAUGUCAUGUACUGGCUCAAAAACGUCUUAUUUUUGGUUCUGACUGUAUCUGAUAUUAAAUGGAGAAAAACCAAGGAUUCAUCAUCGUCGAGGCUCUCUACCAGAAGUUCUAUCAUAGCCGGAGAUUUAGUCUACCUAGAUUUUAUCACAGGUGGUGAUUCCCAAAUCUUGACUUCGACCUCUAGUGCUGGGGUAUUUGAAAUAUAUUCCAAUAUAUUAGUGGAAAUUUUGAGGACCUCCUCAAAAUUUCUUCCCCGGUUUAAAGUUGUUUGAGAUGAUCUCAGCUCAAGAGGAUCCGAAGUCUUAGUUGGUCUCCGUUCUCUUUGUUGGACGAUGAUCUUCCUCUUGUGAAUUUUUGAGAUUCCUUCUUAAAAAUUCUGCCCCAGUUUCCAUUUCCUGGGGUUAUAUGACCGAGCCGCUGGGGCACCUACGUAUUCCGUUGAAGCAGGAAUCAGGUCAAAUGUAGUUCAGGACUAUGCUAAGGAUAUAUAAAAAAAUCUAAUGGGUUGACCGAAGCUGACAUAGGCCACCUACGUAUACCUUUUUUGAGAAUUCAGGUCAUCGCGUAGUUUAUACAUAAAAAAAGGAUAAAUUAUACUAAGGGGUUGACCGAAGCCGACAUAAGACGCCUAUGUAUCCCUUUCUUAGAAAUUCAGGUCAAACAUAGUUCUUACAUAAAAAGAAGGGAUAAAUUAUCCUAAGGGGUUGACCGAAGCCGACAUAAGACGCCUAUGUAUCCCUUUCUUGGGAAUUCAGGUCAAAUGUAGUUCGUACAUAAAGGAAGGAGUUCUAAGCAAUUAUCAUAAAAUAAAUACUAUUAUAAAGGCGAUUACAAAUAAACCAAGUAAACAAAAACUAAAGCAUUAUUCAAACAUAGUACCGCUUUACCGCGUUGAAAUUGAUUGAUUUGGUCCACUAUUGGCCAUCCAUCUCGAAUAAAAUCAGAUCUCCUCGGAUAGUACCUUGUGAACUAUGUAUGGCCCUUGCCAGUUCGGAGCAAACUUACCUUUGUACUCUUCUUGGUGAGGGAAUAUGCGCUUGAGAAAAAAUUGCCCGACUUCAAAUGUUCGAGUUUUUACUUUCUUGUUGAAGGUACGAAUCAUCCCAUGCUAAUACAGCUGACCAUGACAUACAACAACCAUUCUCUUUUCAUCAAUCAACAUGAGUUAUUCAUAGCGAGCGCAAACCCAUUCUUUGUUACUUAGUCCGGCUUUCUGAAUAAUCCUUAAGGAAGGUAUCUCAACCUCAGCAGGUAUCACAACAUCAUUCCCAUAAAUAAGUAUAUAAGGAGUAUCCCCGGUGGAGGUUCAAACUAUUGUAGAUACCCUAGCAAAGCGUAAGGCAACAUCUCAUGACAUGAUCUAUCAUUUUCGACCAUCUUUCUCAAGAUCUUUUUGAUGUUCUUAUGGGCGGAUUCCACAACUCUAUUCAUCUGUGGACGAUAUGCAGUUGAGUUGCGAUGCACGAUUUUGAACUGAUCACAAAUUUCAAUCAUCAAGUGACUGUUCAAGUUUUCCCCAUUAUCAGUAAUAAUCAAUUUUGGCACUCCAAAUUGGCAAAUUAAGUUAUUCCUGAUGAAAUCUGUAACCACUUUCUUGGUGACGGCUCUAUAUGAAACAGCUUCAACCCACUUAGUAAAGUAAUCAAUAGUAACCAAAAUAACUCUAUGCCCAUUUGAUGCCGGUGGUUCUAUUGGUCUGAUAAUAUCCACACCCCAAGCUACGAAAGUCCAAGGUAAAAUCAUCACAUGAAGCUCAUGUGAAGGUAUUUGAAUCAAAUCUCCGUGUAUCUGACAUUUUGGGCAUUUCUGCACAUACUUGCUACAAUCAUUUUCCAUAGUCAUCUAGAAGUAACCAAUUUUCAGGAUCUUUCUAUCAAGGGCAAACCCAUUCAUAUAGGCCCCGCAAACUCCAGCAUGUACUUCCUUUAUUAAUUUAUUGACUUCCGCAGCGUCGACACAUCUUAAGAAACCUACAUCUGGAGUCCUCCUAAAAAGGAUUUCCCAGUUGAAAAAUAAUUCUUUGCCAAAUGCCGGAUUGUCUUUUUCUUAUUGUUGCUGGCCUCUUCAGGAUAUAUCCCAAAUUCUAAAUACCUUUUAAUAUCAUAGUACCAUGGCUUUUCGUCAGGCUCUUCUUCAACGUGUGCACAAUGCGCGGGUUGCUCCUUCAAGCUUAUUUCCAAAAGAUUAAUGUAACUCUGAUCUUGGUGCUGAAUCAUGGAGGAUAUAGGGGCCAAAGCAUCAGCAAAAUUAUUUUGUAUCCUUGGGAUAUGUUUGAAGUCAACUUCCUUGAAUCUUCUACACAAUUCCCGCACCAGCUCCACAUAAUAAGUAAUCUUGGUGUUUUUUACCAUCCAUUCUUCCUGUACCUAGUGAAUCAACAAGUCUGAGUCCCCGAUGACUAGUAAUUUACAAACGCCCAUAUCAAGUACCAAUUUGAGACCUAGGAUGCAAGCCUUAUAUUCGUCUAUGUUAUUGGUGCACGGAAAAUACAACUUAGUGGUGAUCGGAUAGCGUUGGACUGUUUCUAAUACCAAAACUGCUCUGAUUCCUGAACCUUUGAAGUUGACCAGCCCAUCAAAGAAUAACCUUCAUCUGGGGUAAAUUUCGACAAUGUCUUCUCCCAUGAAUAAAAUUUCCUCAUCUGGGAAGUAAGUUCGAAGUGGAUCAUAUUCAUCAUCAAUCGGAUUCUCUUCUAAAUGAUUUGCUAAGGCUUGCCCCUUGAUUGCCUUUUGAGUCACAUAUACAAUGUCGAACUCACUCAACAACAUUUUUCACUUAGCUUACUUCCCCGUAGGCAUGGCUUUCUGGAAUAUAUACUUCAAUGGAUCUAUUCUGGAAAUGAGAUAUGUUGUGUAUGAGGAGAGAUAAUGCCUCAAAUUUUAGGUGGCUCAAGUCAAAGCACAACAUAUCCUUUCUACAAGAGUGUAUUGAGCCUCGUACGUCGUAAACUUUUUACUCAAGUAGUAAAUUGCUUUCUCUUUCUUACCUGUCUCAUCAUGUUGCCCAAAGAUAUAUCCAAAAGCAUUUUUUGAGAUGGACAGGUAAAGCAACAACAGACUUUCUUCCCUUGGCGGAACCAAAACUGACAGAGCGGAUAAAUAUUCCUUGAUUUUAUCGAAAGCUUUCUGACAUUCUUCUGUCCACUCAUUCAAUUGUCUUUCUUCAACAUCUUGAGAAUUGGCUCACAUAUGACUAUAGACUGAGUAAUGAACCUGUUAAUGUAAUUCAAAUGACCCAGGAAACUCAUAACCUUUUUCUUGGUUCUCAGUAGCCGCAAAUCUUGAAUUAUUUUAAUUUUCGACGGGUCUAGCUCGAUGCCCCUUCUGCUGACUAUAAAACCCAGUAAUUUCCCGGCUGGCAAAUCAAAAGCACACUUAGCAUGAUUUAACUUUAAAUUAUACUUUCUCAAUCUGUUGAAAAUUUUUUACAGAUAAUUUAAAUGAUCCAAACUCUCACGAAAUUUGACAAUUACAUCAUCCACGUACACUUCAAUUUGUUUAUGAAUCAUAUCAUGAAAAAUCAUCGUCAUAGCCCUCAUGUAUGUUUCACCUGCAUUCUUAAGACCAAAAAACAUUACCCUGUAAUUAUAAACAUCCCAGGGCAUAAUGAAAGCUAUUUUUUUGGUAUCUUUCUCAUCCAUCUAUAUCUGAUGAUACCCAGCAAAACAACUCAUGUUUUGCACAAUUAUCGAUGAGGAUGUGAAUGUUGGGUAGCAAAAAAUUAUCUUUAGGACUAACUCUAUUCAAAUCCCUAUAGUCAACACAAAUUCAAAUCUUGUCAUCCUUCUUCGGCACUAGGACAAUGUUGGUUAGCCAUGUCGGAUAUUUUGUGACCUCCACAACCUUAGACUGAAUUUGCUUCGUCACUUCUUCCUUGAUCUUCAGACUUAAGUCCAGCUUGAAUUUCCACAUUUUUUGCUUGACUGGAUCAAACUUAGGAUUUAUUGGUAACUUAUGCGACACAAUGCUGGUGCUCAAUCCCAACAUAUCAUUAUAGGACCAAGCAAACGCGUCAAUUUACUCCCGCAACAAGUGAACGAGUUCUCUUUUUUAUGCUUCUGCUAAAUGAACACUAACACUUAUUUCUUUGAUUUCAUCAUCAUCGCCCAGGUUGACCGUUUCAGUUUCUUCUAGGUUGGGUUUCUUCCACUUCUCAAACUCUUCUAUAUCUUCCACGAACCGCGCUUCAUUACUUUUUUUCCAAUCAUCAUCAUUCCCUUCAUUUUGUUCGUCUAAGCUUUGACAUGACACGACAUUGGCAGGUUUAAGUUAUUGUUACUGUAAUAAACAAACAAACCAAGUUAGAUGAAAACAAGAUAAUAAUAAAAUAUACUAAUAUAAUGGUGUUUCAAAAUAAUUUUUUUAAAAUAAAGGGAGGCCUUUUCAUUGAAAUUUGGGAGAUAAUUAUAAACUAUGGCUCAUGACCCGGGCAAGUGUAGGCCCAUGCCUUUUUUAAAAUAGUAAAACACGAAAAGAAAAUUUGAGACAUAAAAGGGUGGAUCACGAGGCCUUCUCUGGAUCGUCACUGAUUUUUAAAACUACUAAUAAUUGCCCUUUCAUCUACCAUGAUGGGUGACGGGUUAUCAGUGGAGUAGAGGUCCAGUUUUGCAAAGCCUCUCCUGGUACAACCUUAUUCACCUUACUGGACUUUAGGAAAUCUUUUGGUACAGCUUUGCAUCCCUCGAACAGAUUUUUUAUCCCAUCCCCAAGACCAUUAUCAUUCGACAUCUCACGCACGGUAAAUGACUGGUACAGGAGUGGCAAAGGCCUAGGCAGACUCGCCUUUGGCUUAUCCUCAAACUCAUCCUAUUCUGUCAGCUGGUAUCCUAACCCAUACUUAGAUGCCUUCUCUGGGACCAUAAUGGGCUGAAUAAUUCCUUCCAGGUUCUUACCCAAACCCCGACCAAGCUCAAACCUAUUUCUUAACAUCAUAAUCAUAAUCAAUUUAUAGGCAGAAGGCAUUGGAGCUUUGAGCGUUAUAUAUUUCACUACAACACAUACAAUUUCCACUAUACAAAAAUUACCACCCUUUGAGAUAUCUUCAAUCAUCGGCACACAACCAUUGGGAUGAUUCGUGUGACUUCUUUCUCCUUGGAUGACUAUUUCAUGAUCCUCCCAAAUAAACUUUAAUAACUGAUGAAGAGUCGAUGAAAAUACCUUUGCACCAUGUAUCCAUGGUCUUCCCAAGAGCAGGUUGUAACUAGGAUGACAUAACAUAAAAUUUAGCCUUGAAUUUAGCAGGUCCCAUUCGGAUGUACAAAUUAAUUUCACCUAUGGUAUCUCUCUAUCUUUCAUCAAAUGCUCGCAUAUUUACGUGGCUUUACUAAAUUUUCCCUAAAUCAUAGCCUAUUUGAAUCAAUGUGGAAAGAGAACAAAUGUUCAAACCAGAUCUGUCAUCUAUUAAUACCCGGUUAACCACAUAAUCCCGACAGACGAUAGCGACAUGCAAGGCUUUGUUAUGCAUUACUCCCUCAAAUGGCAACUCUUCUUCACUGAAGGAUAUGCGAUGACUUCCCACAACAUUUCCUAUUAUCGCAGCCAAAUUUUGUACACUCGUGCCUGCGGGAACAUACACUUUGUCUAAUACCUUUAAUAAAGCUUAUUGGUGGUAUUGUGAACUCAUUAAUAGUGCCAAAAUAGAAAUCUGGGCUGGAUUCUUCUCUAAAUACUUCACAAUCGAGUAGUCUUUCGGUUGUAUACGCCUUCAAAAUUCCUCGACCUCCCCUUCAGUGAUUGGCCUUUUCUAUAAAUCCUUCCUAUUGGUUAAAUCUUCAGGAAUGUAACAUCAUCCAGACCAUGUCAUCCCAUGGGUAGCGGCGAUCUCUACAAUAAAUUCCUUUCAGAGCAGAGAAAUGUACACCUUAGUCGGGACCGUCAUUACUAUGAAUGGGGGCUUUCCAUUGACACUUAAGACAGUUACGACCCUCUCUAUCUUCUCCAUUUCUUUCUCCUUUUGAACUUUUCAAAAUUUACCUUAGAAAUGGUCUUGCUAGACACCUAUUUGCCCUCUAUUUCAAUCAUGUUAAUUGCAGCUCCGUCAUGAUUAGGCAAUGGAUUACUACUAACAUUUGGUGUUGGUGAUUGAAACGUAAUGAUUUUCUGAUCAAUCAAGUCUUGGAUCUUAUGAUUCAGGUUAACGCAAUCCUUGGUACUGUGCCCGAUCACUCCUGAAUGAUAGGCACAAUUUUGAUCGGCCCGAUAAAUCGAGAAUUGGGAUUGAUAAAUUUUAGUUGGAUAGGCUACAAAUGACCGGCAUCCUUUAAUCUCCCAAAGAGUUAGGUGCGACUCUCGACCAGCGACGUGAAGUUUCGGGGAGGUCUUUUUUUUAGGUUUGGACAUGGGGGGUCAUAAUGGUUCUGAUUAAUAGGAAGAGGUACUUGAUGAUAAUUUGGAGACGCUUGGACGCUUGUUCGGUUAUUUGGAAGGGCAGCUUGAGCAUAAAGCUGAUAAUUCGAUUGCAAAAUUUGGUAAUGAGGUAGGAUAAUUGGUUGUGGGGCUUAGUAGUGGGAUUGGAUAUUUAAAAGUGGAGCUUGGUAAUGGGGUUGGGUGUAGAACACAUGCUAAAAAUUUGGUGACGACGGAGAUAAGAAAAUGUUCCUAGGCUUGAAUUUCUUCUUCAAUUUAGCAACAGAAUUAGCAGAGACCGUGCCUACAUCUUUAUUCUUCUUCUUUGGUAACAUAGAAGUCCUAGACAAUGUUAGAGUAUUGAUAAUUUUUCCCUUUUAAAUGCCUUUUUCUAGCGAUUCCCUAAUUUUUACCAAAUCUGCGAAAGUUGCUCUGACUGCGGAUACCAUCCUAGUAUAAUAUUAUCCCUCUUGAGCGCGAGAGAACACAGACACCAUCUUUUCCUUAGACAUGGGAGGUUGUACUUUGGCAGUUUCUUUUCUCCAAUGGAAGGCAUAGUCUCGGAAACACUCAUCAUUUUUCUUCUUAAUUCAGUCUAAUGAGUAUCGGUUAGGGACUAUUUCAAUGUUAAAUGCGAACCUAUUAAGGAAAUCUUUAGCCAAUGCCCUCUAAUUAGUCUAUCUUUUCAGUUCUUGACACAUGAACCAAUUUAAGGCUUCGCCGCUUAAGCUUCAGCUGAAUAAGUACAUUAAUAGUGCCUCAUUUUUUCCUACCCCCACUAUUUGAUAACAAUACCUUCUCAAAUGGGCCAUCGAAUUUCCAAUACCGUUGAACACCUUAAAUCUGGGGACCUUGUAUCAUUCUGGUAGAUCUAUUCUAGGGUGAACACAUAGAUCAUCAUAACCUAGGCCAUCAUUAUCCCCCAUCCCAUGAGAUUCCUUGAUCCUCAUCAUCUCUUCAUUCAUAGCCAACAACUUUAUUUCAUGCUUGGUCCUCUACUCUUUUUUCUUCUCCUCAUAAUGGUCUAUCUCGUGAUUGGGAAAAAAAUUAUAGAUGUUAGGGGAUAUGAUGAUGUAAGAGAGAUUUGCAAGGUUAGAUUGAUUUUAAGGAUGAGGGGAGGCUGGUUGGUAGGUGGGGAGAAUGUUCUGGAAAUUGGAAAAGUUUUAUGGAAUUUGAGAGUAGUUUGGUCGGAUCUGAGAAGGAUUUUGCGAAUUUGGAAAUGAAGUUUAUGGAUUCGGAGAUGGAUUUGGUAGAUUAGGUAGAUUUGGGGAUAGAUUUUGUAGAUUUAGGAGCUAAUUUUAUGGAUUUGAAAGCGAAUUUUGUGGGUUUGAAAAUAGAUUCUGGGGAUUUGGGAAUGAAUUUUAUGGAUUUUGUAGAUGGUAAGCAUCUGGGUUAUUUUAUCGGUUGGUGUUUUGGACAAGUUGAGGAGCGGAGACGGACGAUAUGUUAUUUGGAUGAUCCUUGAGAAUAGGUGUACUGAGAGGAGGGAUCUAGAGUGAAGUCCUGUGUCCUCCUGGAGUAGGAGCAUUAACAGUAAUGGCCAGGUUAGCCAAAUCUCGAGUACGAUUCAUCUCCUCCUGAAGCAUUUCCAAUUUUCUCGCGAGUUCGGUAAUUGUCUCACUUUGUUCCGCUAUUACAUUGUCUUUGAUGGUCAACGCAUUUUCUUCAUCGUUUUUGGUCAUUUUUGAAUAAUGGUCAAAGGAUGAGAUCUUAUGCGCUUUUGACCGGGUGAAGUAAGGAUGUUCUGACAGCUUAUUUCAACACUAAGUAGUUUUCUAUUAUCUGUAAAGUAAAAUAACUCAAAGGUAGAUGUGUUAGUUUCCAUACGUGAUAGGUAAUAUAAGAUACUUCACAAGAAGUAACCACAUAGAGUUGUUGGUGUCAUAGACAGACUGAUUCAUGGGAGCAUAGUGGAUAAGUUUACCUUUGACUCAAACAAACACACAUAAACACAUAAGGCAGUUAUAUCACAUAAAUAUUAUAAUAGCGUGUAUCCUACUAGGGUGACCUUUUUUGAGCCAAGGAUCUGGGACUAACGGAUUUUGAAGAAAGUACAUGCCUUUUUAAAGCCAAUCCAUUAUCCCCCUAACCUUCAUAGAUAUAUGAAAGGGUAUAAAUUCCUCCAAAAUAUAACAAAGAGGGAUACAAUAUUUAGGGAAAAGGGAAAUAACAUGAAAAAAGAUAAGGUCCUACGCAGGGGAAUAGAAAAUCUAACUACUGGAUACUCCAUCGUUUGCCUUUGCCUUCUUAGCCUUAUUCACCUCCUGCGAAUACCUGUUGAUGAUCAGAUGACUCCCGCAUAACUGUGACUUGUUGUCGUAGGUCAUUCUUUCUAUACUAUCAAUCUGAGAAGCCAUGCUAUCAUCCAAAUAGAUUAGACACUUCUUAGAAUCAUCAACCUCAUGCCUGGCUCGUUUCAACUCUUCCCUCAAUAUACAUAUAGUCAAAGCAUCCUCUAUAUGCAUCUGUUGGUGCGUGAUUUUACUUUUUUUAAAUUCAUCUUAAAGCCUAUGGAGUUGGAUCUGAUGCUCUGAUUCUAUAUCAACAACCCGAGUGGGUACAUUCGGCCCUGAAAUCAAUUCUCCGGCGAGACUCUUCUUCUACCACUCCUUGUAAGUGUCGCUGACGUCGAGAUCAUACUCUAUACAGAAAGAGACUUUCUUCCAUCCUCUUCUUCUUCAUCUAUUUACCCUGUAGUCUUUGAGCGGAGACUCGCCUUCAUCAUACUCAGUAAAGAAUCUAAGCAUACACUCGAUUUGGGGUGUCUCCUGCUUGAUCUCAAAUUGCCUAAGAACUCUGUCAGGAUUGUAGGGAUGGGUCCCCCUGAGACCUAUAAGCACUAGAAAAGGCCACUCACCCCCUCGAAUGGUGUAUCUCCCUGAACGAAGAUAUUUGAUGUACUAUUGGACAUCUUCAUCCCUUAUUCUACAAAAGCCUUAAACCAAAAUACUGGAGAUACUUCCCUUUUGAACUUGUGCGGAAACAGCCACAUGUCAUGCAAUGAUAAAAGAUCUUCCCUUAUUUUAUGAUCAGGCUGUACCGUUCUAGGAUUAUUCACCAAAUGCAUCAUCAUCACCAUUGCAAGAUAAGGUUGUAACCUUGAAAGAAAUGAUUCUCGGCCUGACAUCUUCCUAAAGCUCGAUAUAUGUUGGCUACAAUCAUGGGAGCUAUGUUAUGGAAUACCUUUUUAGAACCAUAUUUUAUUCCAUAGAAGAGUGUGUGGCUCACCGUGACAACCCUUGGAUGAAUUGCACCAUUUUUCCCUUGUGGAAACACCAUAGUUCCAAGUAGGCCUACCGCAAAUGCAAAUGCCCUUGUCUUCUUCCAUUUUGCUUCUGACUCAAAUUUAUGUCCGAACUUAUGAAAAGCAUUAAACCUUCCGAACCAGCGAUACUACUCACGAAAAGGGAUAUUUAUCUCAUCACGUUCCCCUAGCUAGGUGUCAUCAUUAAGUAAAAAGACCAUCUGAUCUCUUGACGGUUCCACACAAUCGGGACUGGAAUGUUCUUAUCAAGUGUCUCUUUUCUCUUGAAACAAAUUUCAAUACUCUCGUAACAAAUCAACACCUCUUCAAUAGUGGGAGUCAAUUCAACAUCCCCAAAAUAAAACACCAUAUUCUGAUCAUCUCAAAAGGUUGUCAGCACGUGGAUCAUUUCAGGCCAAGCGUCCAUCUCAAUAAACAAAGGCAAAUGCCCGAUAUGUGUUCUAAUAAUCUUUCUUUCUUCUCCGCUUAUGUAAUCCCACCAUAGUUUCAGAAAAUUAUCCGGUCCAGUAACCAUCUUGAACUUUUUGCGAGAAUGCAUUGAGUCAUAUCCUACAUGAAAGCAGACAAAGAUAAACCCAAAGGAUAAUGGAUUGGAUUAAACAAACAUACAUUUUCUUCAACACAUAAACAUGAUUCGCAUGUAAUUUACUCGGGGUCAAUAAACGUAGGGCAAGUUUUCUAAUGGGCCCAAUACUCCCUCGGGUAUUGGGUCGUCCUAGGAUCAUGCCUAAAAUUAGGUUUUGGUUUUGCUCUAUCCUAGGUGUCUAGAGUGGGUUUGAACCAGGUUCCCAAGUGGAUGACUUGGGAUUGAAAAUAUGAACAGCUAUCAAAUGACUCACGUACUAAUAAAUCGUUGUAUUUUCAACAUUUUUAUUUGGUAUUGAACAACAGGGACCGGGACAUCCACGAAACCCCAAAACAAUUUAUAAAUAAAUGCAGGAAUAUGCCAUAAGAUGCAAUAAUUAAAUAUCGCGAAAUCGAACAUAUAAUCACAUAGAUAGUUAAUCAAAAGACGAAAUCAAACAUUUGGUUAGAACCUAGUUAAAAAAAUCCCCAGCAGAGUCGUCAUUUCUGUUUUGCGGAAAUUUUGACUUUUGAAGAGUCGCCACUUAAUUUUGAAAAAGAAUUAAGAAACCUUUAUAAAAUACUUUAAACGAUCCAAAACAGACAAAUCAUUUAAAUUAGAGAUUCUAGAAAAACAUUUCCUAUUAAUGUUUUAGGAAGUUUUUAGGCACCUAAAACAUCCGUUUACUUGCGGUUAUCCGAACUGUUUGAAAACAUUUUUUGACUAACUUCAAAAAGAUUGAUUUAUUGAAAAGUGAUCGACUUUUUAGCAAAGACUUGUGUAAAAUAGAUUUAGGCGACUUAGUAGGGAUUUUAACUAAGUCUAAACAAAACUAAUAAGCAAAUAAAUACAUAAAAGGGGAAAGGGUGGAGAAAAUAAAAGAUUUAGGCCAUUGGACCCAAAUCAACGAGACCUGUCCUAGUCUAAUUGGGCUUUCAACCUAUUUCACCUGUCCUAAUCUAUUUUCGAGCCUUUGGCUCGAGUCUCGCUCCACCUAUAUUAAAUUUACAACUUUGUCUUCGAGGCCCAAAAUACAUGAAUAAUGAAAUGAAAAAAUUGAAUAGAUAAUAAUAAAGGACGACAAUGAAUGAAUAAAUGAAAAUAAGACUCUCGCGUCUCUUUGUCGCUUCAAAUAUGAGACUUUAACCCUCUUUUUUUCUUCCACCUUCUCUUAUCCAUAUGCCAUGAGAUUGUCUUUGACCAUAGUCUUCCAAAAAAUUGACUCAGGGCUAGACGGGCCUCAAUGGCCCAUAAUGAACAUGCAAAGAGAAAAGAAUCCAUAUAGGACGCAAACAUAUCCACAUGCAAAAAGAAAAAGUAAAGUAAUUAACAUAUAUCCUAAGGUUAAUAUUUGAACGAGUACUAAAUUAACAUGUAUAAUAAAACAUGCAAAAUUAGUUUAACAAAGGUAACUUCUCAUUAUGUAACAUACAUGGAUACCAACAACAACAAUAACGAAUCCAGUGCAUCCCCGAGGGUAAAAUAUACGCAGUCCGUACCGCUACCUCAAAUACGAGAUAGAAAGGCUAUUUCCGAUAGACUUCCAGCUUAGAAAUCAGUUGAUAAAAUUAUGAUACACAAAAUGAGUAACCACAAAAAUUGAAUCUUUUCUUAUGAAUACACUUAAAAUCCCAUAAAAUUAGUUGGAAAAGUAAUAAAGGCUAAAAAAUAUGGAGCAAAAGAAAGGUAAAUAAAGACAGACAGCUCAAUAAGAGGUCAUACGUUGAGUAAAAUAGGGAAAGGUACAAUCUUGAGCAAGCAAAUGACAAGAAGUAACAAGAAUAGAAGGGGGAAAACUCCAUUUUUGUAUUUUAAACACAGAAAACACCCAUAGCAUGUUAUAAACCUCUAAAGCAGUGGAAAGUUGAAUCUUUUAGCUAACUAUAACCAAGAACUCAUAAAAUUAGAUCUUUGACUAUGGGUUACAAUAUAAGUUAACACAAGCUCAACAUAUAGAUCAAAAGAAAGGAAAAUAAAGAGAGUCAACUCAAAAAAAAGUUUAUAUUUUACCGUAUAAAGGCAAAAGAACAAGCUUGAGCAAGAUAAUGGCUAAAAGAAGCAACAAAAAUAGGAGGUAAAACUCCAUUUUUGCAAUUCAGACACAUAAAUUAAACCAAUAAACAUGGAAAAAACUGAAUCUUUUUCAACAAACGUACAAAAAAUCCACAAAAUUAGUUGAUAAAAGUAUGAUGCGUACAGCAAGUGGAAAAGAGCUCAAAUAUUAUGAACCGAAUGAAUGAAUCUCUUUUGUUUUGUAAAUAUUCAAAGAACCCACCGAGCUAUUUGACAAAAGUAUGAUUUACUCAAUAAAUGACCACAAGCUCAAAUAUCCUAAGGAAAAUCAACGAAAUCUACUAAAAGUUCAUAUUCUUAUAGUAAAAAGGGAAACAACAAGCUUGAGCAAGAUACUGGCUAAAAGAAGCAAUAAGAAUAGAAGAUAAAACUCUAUCUUUGCAAUUCAGACACAUAAAUUAAACCAGGUGGUAUCUUUGACCCUCUAAAACAAGGUAAAAACUAAUCUUUUUAAACAAUAUGCAAGCCUCCAUAACAUUAGUUGACAAAAAUAAGCAAAGAUACAAGCUCUAGAAACAUAAUAACUAAAAGGACCAACAAAAACAGAAAGUCUAAGAAACCAACUUGAGAUACCAGCAGUACAAUACACCUAAGCAAAGAUCAUACCACGAAAAGUCCAAGCAACACACAGUAUAUAAACCAGGUAGCAUAUUUUGACCUUCUAAAACAAGGCAAAAACUAAAUCUUUUUAACUAAUAGUUGCCUCAUCAAACAACAUAACGCCUAUUACUUCAAACAGAUUCCUACGGCCAACGAGGCAUCUUCAACAAACAAACCAGCAUACAUAUUAGUGAAGAUUUAUUCGCAAUUACAAAAGGUUGAGAUGGAUCAAAAGCAAUCGAAAGCUCAACGAAAUGGAAUAUUACCUGUUCAGGAGCAGCAAAAUGGGACAACGAGUUAAUCGUUGGGAGGUCGAUUACCACUACUUCAACGAUUCCAACAAACUCGACGGCUUCUAAACUUUCACUAAAAUAGAGAAAUUUGUUUACUGAUUUUUUCUCCAAAUGAUUUUUUCUCCCUUUUCCCCUUUUUUUCUUUCUUUUUUCUUUCAAGUUUUUGAACCCUCCUUCAGCUCCACAUCGGGUCGCUUAUAUAGAGGACAAAUUGGGGGAUUCCUCCUCAGCCUUGAACGAUCGAAUUAGUACUCAAAUUGGGGGGUGUUUUUGGGAUUCUUUUAAAAGAUGAAUUCAAAAUUUAAACUUAGAUAAGGUUGCCUCCCUCAAUUUUUUUCCCAAUUUGGAUUUUCUCCCCCCAAAUUCGGAAUAGGUAGCCAAUAGGAAUGAGGAAACAAAAAAUCUCUCAUGAACCAAUGAGAGUUGGUCAAAUACGUACGAAUUCGUAUGAAUUAUCCUGAGAUUCACGGGAUUUGGACGUUGGAUAGGACACAUAAUCAAUCUUCUAGAAAAUUCGAGGUUGGCGAUAUGUUGGUUCGGGUUGGAUUUGGUCGCCAUCAUUGUUGGGUUUCUGGAUCGGGUGACGGGUUGACGGAUUUGGGAAUUAUUCGAAUUUGGGUUUUUGAGGUUGUUGAUAUUGUUAUUUGGUUGAAGCUGUACGUUGAAGUUGGUGUCGUAUUAUGGAGUUGGGUUUUGUACGUUGAAUUAUUGGUUUUGUUAUUUGGGGAGAUACAACAAUUAGGUCGGGUCGAAUAGAUAGGGAUUGAGCCGGUUUAUGGUGGAGGUUGUUUGUUUAAUAAAGAGAAAAUGGGCCAAGUUGUAAAUUGGGUUGGAAGAAUUUGGACCUGGUGGGCUAUUUGGUGGGCAAAUUUGGGCUUGGACGAAUUGGGUGAAAUCGAGGUUAUUUAAUAACCCCAAUUAGAUUUAAUUGGGUCAAAAUAAUCCCAAUUAAAUUUAAUUAGAUUAAAAUAACCCGAAUUAAAUUUAAUUUGGUAAUUUAGAACCAUUUAGAAAAAUCUCAAUUAGACUACAGGUUAUUCAAAAAUAACUUCAAUUAAGAUUUAGCCCAUUCUAUUUAAAUUUUGACCAAAUUAAAAGUUAAUUGGCCAAUUGCAUUGCAAUUGUGGUCAAUUUAGUUUCAAUUAUGAUCAAAUUUAAUAGAUUGAUUAAAUUGUAUUGAAAUUCGAUACGAAUUAAUACCUUGUCUAAUCUUGAGUUUCUCAAUUUAAUAAAAUCAAACAAAUAUAUUUAUUUAUUAUUUUAUUAUUUUCAGAUAAGUUAUUUUCAAGAACACUUGACAUUUAAAUUAGGGUUUUAAUCAUUUAAAUUUAUUUUCAAGAUAAACUUUGAUUAGGUCUAAUAUUUCAUAAAACAAAUAUUUAAGUAACCAAAUUAUAUAAUCUCGUAUAAUUGGAUACGAUAAUAUAUAAUCGCUACUUAAAAUAAUAAAAUCACCCCGAUAAACACUUUGAAAAGCUUUUAUUGAGAUGAAAUAAAUGUUUUGAUUUUAUUAAAAAUCGAAGAAAUUCAGGAUUAAAUUUAGUUGUAGAGGCAAAAAUUAGGAGUCAUAUUUGUAUUGAUUAGAAAGAAAUGGUAGCAGAUUAAAUGUAUCCAUUUUUUAUGUAACAACUAAUACACAUUGAAUUGAAUUACAUAUUAAAUUUAUUUAUUUAUUUAUUUAUUUAUAAUUAUAUAAUAGAAAAAAUGAGAAAAUAAAUAAAUGUGAAUAGUGGCUUUAGAAGCAUGCCACAUCAUCAACUUCAUAUCAUUUCUUUUUAUACACACACAUAUAGAGAGAGAGACAGAGAGAGCUUAAACACAAGAUAAAAUAAAUUUAUCUUUAGAAGGGAAAAAGUUACUGAAAAGAGAAAGUCACGUUAAUAUUGAUUAGAUAAAAAUGGUAGCAGUUUAAAUAUACCGUUUUUUAUUUAGCAAUAAAUACACAUUAAAUUGAAUUACAUAUUAAAUUUUUUCAUUUAUUAAUUUAUAAAGAUAAAAGUUAUAAAAGUUAAAAAAGUGAGAAAAAAGAUAAAUAUGAAUAGUGACUUUAGAAGCAUGCUACAUCAACACACACUCAUAUAUAUAUAUAUAUAUAUAUAUAUAGAGAGAGAGAGAGAGAGAGAGAGAGAGAUUACAUACAAGAUAAAAUAAUUUUACCUUUUGAUUUCAAAAUUAUUAUUUCUCAUACUAUCAACCUACACUGAAAGUUCUUUCUAAAAAGAAUAAUAAGUCUUUAAUGUAUAGUUACCGAUACUAAUAGAACGAAAAUAAAAUGUACUACGAGCUCCAAACAUUUUUUAAAAGUUUUCAUUCAAGAUACAUAUACACACAAAUAAAAACAUAUAUUCCUUAGUAAGAAAAGUAUCAAAUGUAUUGAAGCUUCUUUAGAGAUUCAAAGAGAUGACAAACAUCUCUUCCCCCCCCCCCCUCAAAACUCUCCAUCACUCACACACGGUAAGGUAGUAGACUGACUUGAGGUCAAACAAAGAAUGGUUAAUAGGUCCAAGUACCUCAACAUCACCAUAUAUCUUUAGAAAAGAUGAGCAACCUUCUUCAUAAGGUAUAAUCCUCCUAGAAUAUCAACCUUCUUCAUAAGGUAUAAUCCUCCUAGAAUAUCUACUAACACGUGGAUUGACGAGAACAAUCUCCUCCCUUUCUCCCCAUUCACCAGUUGCAUUAAAUAUCAUUAGUUGAACAUUCACUCCAACUUAUGGUACAGAUAGCCCAAUACCAUCAGUUCUGCAUAAAACAAAGCAAGCAUCCUUUAUAGUACUCUGAAUAACAAGCUUUCCUUAUAAAAAAAAAUUAUGUAAUGUCUACUAACUACGACAUCGAUAAUUAAGAUUAUUCCUUAUGCUAGAGUAUUCCUUCUACGACAUCAAUGUUCUAAGUGCUCUUCAUUCCUUUCCUGUAUUCAUGUUACAUUUUCAAACCUUUUUUGUUUGUGUUUCUACAGUUUUUUGGGAUUUUAAGUAGAAGUCAUGUGACUUCUAGGAUUAGUAACAAUACUUCCUUUAAUAGUUGUGCAAUUAUGUUGAGAAUUAAUGAGGUGAUGAAAUGCAAAAAAAAAAAUGAGGAAAAAGAAAAUUUUAAUUUUUUAAAAUUAAAAAAUGGCAAAAAAGUACAAAAAAGGAUAAAUAGUUUUGGAGACCUCUGAGACAUGCCACAUAGGAUUGUCUAAGAGUCUCCUUUAUAUAUAUAUAUAUAUAUAUAUAUAUAUAUAUAUAUAUAUAUUAAAGUGAACUAAAUAAUAAUUAAAUCUAAUACACCUUAAACUCUUGAAACAUGGCUUGUUUAGAGAUUGUUGGAAUGUCCCACCACUCGUGCCAAGGAUAUGUAAAAAGUCUUAUAACACUCUCCCUUACAGCCUCAUUACUUCUUUUGACACGGGAUACCACCUGUAAAUAACAUAAUAAGUAUGUAAGCUUGAAUAUUUUAUUAAUGAAAUAAAUAAACCUAUCAAUUGAAAAAUAAACUUACGAAGAUCCAUCAGGCUCGAUGAACACUCUACCAAGCAUGUCUAUAUCUCCAGGAACUAGACCAAUCAAAUCUGCAUCAAUAUCUUCUUCUACAGGAGAGGGUGGGGGAGAAGGUAGGGGUAGAGGUGGAGAUGGUGGUGACAUGAUCAUUUUGAAGUCACUAGUACACAUUUCAAAACACUACACUUAACCAUUUUCAAGUCAUGAAUUCACAUUUUAAGUGACAAUGCAAACCAUUUUCAAGUAAUGAAUUGACAUUUCAAGUGACAACACUAAACCAAUUUCAAGUUAUGAAUUCACAUUUUCAAAUGAUUACACUUUACUAAUUUCAAAACACAAGUUCAUCUUUCAAGUAACUACACUAAACCAUUUUCAAGUCCCUAAUUCACUUCUCAAGUGACUACACUUGAUUAAUUUGAAGUCACUAGUACACAUUUCAAAACACUACACUUAACCAUUUUCAACUCUCUAAUUCAUUCUCAAGUGACUAAACCAUUUUUAAUUCAUGAAUUCACAUUUCAAGUAUCAACACUAAACCAAUUUCAAGCCAUGAAUUCACAUUUUCAAGUGAUUACACUUUAAAAUUUUCAAAACAUAAGUUCACCUUUAAAAAACUACACUAAACCAUUUUCAGGUCCGCUAAUCCACUUUUCAAGUGACUAGAACACAUUUCAAAACACUACACUUAACCAUUUUCAACUCUCUAAUUCAUUCUCAAGUGACUAAACCAUUUUUAAUUCAUGAAUUCACAUUUCAAGUAUCAACACUAAACCAAUUUCAAGCCAUGAAUUCACAUUUUCAAGUGAUUACACUUUACAAAUUUCAAAACACAAGCUCACCUUUCAAGAACUAUACUAAGCCAUUUUCAAGUCGCUAAUCCACUUUUCAAGUGACUAGUACAUAUUUCAAAACACUACACUUAACUAUUUUCAACUCUCUAAUUCACAUUUCAAGUGAUUAAGCAUAACCAUUUUCAAGUCAUGAAUUCACAUUUCAAGUGUCAACUCUAAACCAAUUUCAAGUCAUGAAUUCACAUUUUCAAGUGAUUACAUUUAACUAAUUCCAACACACAAGUUAAUCUUUCAAGUAACUACACUAAAUCAUUUUCAAGUCGCUAAUCCACUUUUCAAUUGACUAGUACACAUUUCAAAACACUACACUUAACCAUUUUCAACUCUCUAAUUCACAUUUCAAGUGAUUAAGCAUAACCAUUUUCAAGUCAUGAAUUCACAUUUUCAAGUGAUUACAUUUAACUAAUUCCAACACACAAGUUAAUCUUUCAAGUAACUACACUAAAUCAUUUUCAAGUCGCUAAUCCACUUCUCAAGUGACUAGUACAUAUUUCAAAACGCUACACUUAACCAUUUUCAACUCUCUAAUUCACGUUUCAUGUGACUAAACUUAAUCAUUUUCAAGUCAUGAAUUCACAUUUUAAGUAUCAACACUAAACCAAUUUCAAGUCAUGAAUUCACAUUUUCAAGUGAUUACACUUUACAAAUUUCAAAACAUAAGUUCACCUUUCAAGAACUACACUAAACCAUUUUCAAGUCGCUAAUCCACUUUUCAAGUGACUAGUACACAUUUCAAAAUACUAUACUUAACCAUUUUCAACUCUCUAAUUCACAUUUCAAGUGACUUCAAUUAACACCCAAGCGAAUAAGAAUUUCAAAAUUGAAAGCAGCACAUAGACAUGGUGAAUUAAGGUUAAUGUUGAUAGAAUUUAGGGCUUUUAACGUAUGUCAAUUAAAUAGAGUAAAAUAAACACAAGCUUAAACUAAUCAAGUAAAAAACAUCGCAAAAUAUCAGCUAUUUAAUUCACAUGUAAUAGUCUGUAAAAAGGAAUAGCAGAAGAUGAUAAUAGCAAAUUGACUUGAAUUUAUAUAGAGAAACAAACCUGGGACGGAUUCGGAGAAUCCAUCAUGAACUCCAACUUUUCCCAGUGACAUUUAGUCGACAAUAACGGUGGUGGCAGCGGCUGUUGGUGGCGCAGCUUGCUUCACCGAAAAAAGAUUUUGCCGGCCAACCGGCUAGAGCGACGAUUGGUGGCUGGUGGAGCAGGUUCGUCGACGCUGGUUUGCCGAAGAAGGGAGAUAAUAGAGAAGGCAGUGGAUUGGCGGUUGAUUCAGUUGCUGGUAAGAUUAACCAGCGGGAGAAGAUAACGUGAGAGGAGGAGAUGCCUGUUUCGCCGGCUGGUUGCCGGCCGACAGAGGGGACAAUGAUUUUUUGUUGGUUUAGAGAGAGAAAAGAGAGGAGUAGGUGACUGAUUUUUGGGUGAGGGAUUAGGGUUUGGUAUUUUGUAUAAAAGAAAAUAAAAGGGUGAUGGAGUCUCAGUUGUUGGAUCAAUUUUGAUCAACGGCUGAGAUUAAAAUUACUUUAAAAAGGGGUCAAAAUGGAAUGAAUAUCAAUUUGGUUAAAAUUGACAUUAAUUGUGUACAAGAUGGCUAGAAAAUAAACACAUUAAGAAAUUGAAUUGAAUUGAAUUAGGCCCGCUAUUUUAAUAAAUGUGAUAAUGAUGAGAAAAAUAAUAAGACAUCGACAUCAAAAUAAAUUAAGCAUGUAAAAAUUAAUGUUAUAUAAAAUUAUCGAUAGUAGUAAUAAUAAAGACAAUGCAUUUGUAAGUUGUGAGUGUGCACAUUUACGUAAAAAUAAAUAAAUAUAAAUAAAAAUUAUGUAAAAUGUCGGAUUUGAAUUAAUAAAUUGUGAAAAAUGAUAAUUUAAUAAAUGUGAAAAUUACGAGAAAAAUAGUAAGACAUCAAUAUUAAAAUAAACUAAGCAUGUAAGAAUUAAUGUUACAUAAAAUUACUAUAUAAAAUACGAGCCUGAGAGAGGUAUCGCAAGGUCAAAAUUAGGUGUCAACACAAUUAAACCGAUUAAGUCCCACAAAUUAGGUCUGUGGAGGGUAAAGUGUACGCAGACCUUCUCGAAAACCUAUUCAAGCUUGAAAAUUCUUAUAAAAUAAAACACAUCAUGUAAGAUUUAAGAUUUCAUUUUUUUUCUUGUUAAUUAGUUACUGUUAUUUCUAUUUUAUGCAUAUUUUUUAUUGGUUAAACGGAAAAUCGAACCGUUAAGGACUAAAAACCGAUAAAUCAAAAAACGAUUAAAAAAACAUCUUAUUGAUUUGAUUAUUGGUUUAACAUAUUUAAAAAUAAAUAACUGAUAAACCAAACCGAUAAUAUGUAAAAUCAAACCGAACCGAUUGAUGCACACUACUAAUUUAAAAAAAAAAUAGUGAAAAUUGAUUUAAUAUUGACCGUUGAUCAAAUAUGAUAAAUGGUUGAGAUUAAAAUUGAGGAGAUGAGUCAAAUUGGGAUUAGAAAUUUGGUUAAAAAAAGAUUGAAUUGGAGAUUAUUGUAGGUUAAUUAGCUUCAUUAUUAGAACUUCAAUAGUGUAUUACUACCUCGAUCAUAUGAUAUUAACGUAUUAUUCAAAAUAUUUGGAUAUAUAGAUUCAAUUAGCUAGCUUUUAACUAUUAUGUACAUCACUAUACGAGAGAUACGUAUUUAUAUGUACAUACAUACAUACAUAUAUAUAUAUAUAUNNNNNNNNNNNNNNNNNNNUAUAUAUAUAUAUAUAUAUUUGAUUGACUAUCAACGUUGUAAUAUGUAUUAUAUACAUCACAUACACGAGUAUAUUACCUCGUAAUACAACGUAUUUUAUUUAUACUCUGGUGAAUUAUCGUUUAAUUUAACUUACAUUAUUAUAUUAUAACUUGAACAAUAUAUUAUUACCUUGAUCAAUUGAUCGUAUGAUAUCAAUGUAUUUAAUAUAUAUAGUUGAUUGACUAUAAAUUUAAAAUAUGUACUAUAUACAUCACAUACAAAUGUAUAUUACCUCGUAAUACAACAUAUUUCAUAUAUACUUUGAUGAAUUAUCAUUUAAUUUAGCUUAUAUUAUUAUAUUAUAACUUCAAUAGUAUAUUAUUAUCUUGAUCAAUCGAUCACAUGAUAUCAAUGAAUUCAAUAUAUAAUUGAAUACAUUUAAUUUUUUAAAUAUAAAAAUUAUUUAUUUAAUAGUAAACUAAAAAUAUCAAACAUCGACGGACAACGUCGUUUUCAUAAAGUUGAUUUUAUUUAUUUUUUAACAAAAGUGACACUGUCCGUCACUUUUUGUAAAAAGUAUGAAAAAAUAAAAAAAUUGCGACGAAUAGUGUCGCUUUUCUAUAAUUAAUAAUUUAAAAAUAAAAAUUAUAGCGACGUUGUUCGUCGAUUUUAAUAAAAAUUAAAUUUAAAAACCGACGAAAAACAUCGCUUUUCAAAAAAUUAAUUUUUAUUUAGUUUUAUAAAAAGCGACGUUGUCCGUCGCUUUUUGUAAAAAAUAAAGAAAAAUAAAAAAUAAUUAUAAAUUGCGACGGACAGCGUCGCUUUUCUAGAAUUAAUAUUUUAAAAAAUAAAAAUUAUAGCGACGUCGUCCAUAGAUUUUAAUAAAAAUAAAUAAAAAUAAAAAUAAAAUUUAAAAAGCGACGGACAACGUCUCUUUUCAAAAAAAUAUUUUUUAUUUAGUUUUAAUAAAAGCGACGUUGUCCGUCACUUUUUAUAAAAAAUAAAAAUAAUUACCAAUUGCGACGAACAAUAUCGCUUUUCUAGUAUUAAUAUUUUAAAAAAUAAAAAUUAUAGCAACGUUGUUCAUCGCUUUUAAUAAAAAUAAACAAAAAUAAAAAUUAAAUUUAAAAGCAACGAACAACGUUGCUUUUUAAAAAAUUAAUUUUUAUUUAGUUUUAACAAAAGCGACGUUGUUCGUCGCUUUUUGUAAAAAAUAAAAAUAAUUACAAAUUACGACGAACAACGUCGCUUUUCUAGAGUUAAUAUUUUAAAAAAUAAAAAUUAUAGCUACUUUGUUCAUAGCUUUUAAUAAAAAUUAAAUUUAAAAAUCGAUGGACUACGUCACUUUUCAAAAAAAUAAUUAUUAUUAUUUUUAAAUAAAUUCCGACGCUAUCCGUCGCAUUUACUAAAAAAUUAUAAAUUAUUUUUUAAUUAGUUGGCACAAUAAUCCGCGAAAAAAACAAUGGAUAUUAAGAUAUUGGCCCGUCGAUUUUAAUAAAAAUAAAUAAAAAUCAAAAUUAAACUAAAAAAGCGACGGACAAUAUCGCUUUUCUCAUUGCUUUUUAAAGAGACACAGUUCGUCGUUUUGUGGCCCUUUUUUAGUAGUGUAUCAGUACCGUUAUUCACGUUGGUGAUGGAUGUAUUGAUACGACAUAUUGAAGGGAAAGUGUUUUCUUUUAUCUUAUUUGCUAAUGAUGUAGUGCUUAUUGACGAGACUUGAAGAGCAAUUAAUGAUAAUUUGGAGGUAGAUCCCAUAGUCUAAAAUGUUUAGGUUAAGUAGGAUCAAAACAAAGUACUUAGAGUGUAAGUUUAGUGAUUUAACACAUGAGACUGACGUGGUAGUGAAGUUGAAUUCUCAGGUCAUUCGGAAGAUAGAUAGUUUCAAGUCUUGGAUCUAGAUUUAGGGGAAUGGAGAGAUUGUCGAGGAUGUCAUGCACUGCAAUAUAGUUGAAAUAGAGGCUCGCUUCGAGAGUCGUGUGUGAUAAGAAUGUGUCACUUAAAUUUAAAGGUAAGUUCUACAAAGUGACAGUCUGAUCGGCUAUACUGUAUGGAGAGGAGUUUUGGCUAGUUAAGAACUACCACGUACAAAAAUUGAAAGUGACAGAGAUGACAAUAUUGAGAUGGACGUGCAAAUUUAUUAGGAGAGAUAGGAUUAAAAAUGAUAUUAUUCGAGACAAGGUGGUGUGACUUUGGUGGAAGAUAGGAUGAAGAAAGUGAGGUUGAGAUAGUUUGGACAUGUGAUUGAGGUGGUACACUAAUUUCCCAGCACGGAGGUGUGAGAGACUUACGAUGGAUGAUUUUAGAUGGGGUAGAGGUAGACCGAAUAAAUAUUGGAGAGAAGCGAUUAGGUAUGACAUGAAGUAGUUAUAGCUUAUAGAGAACAUGACUCUUAAUAGAAAAGUGUGGAGGAUGCAAAUUAGGAUAGAAGGUUAGUGGUAGGAGUGUGUCCUAGUAAGGAGGAGUAUUUUGUUUGUCGAUUUACCUAUAAUAUAAUGUUAUGCAUAUGUUUUGUAGCUUUUUAUUCGUGGUGUUUUGGGGAUAUUUGUAAUUUUGGAUAGAUAAAUCAUAGUAUUAUUAUUUCUUUUAUUAUCUUGUAGUGUUUACCAUUUUUUGUUGUUAGUUUUUAUGUUCUCUGCUUGGUAAACUAUUAUUUGUCAUGGGUCGGGGUUCAUCGAAAAUAAUCUCUCUACUUCACAUGAGGUAGUGGUAUGAACUACGCACAUUAUAAUCUUUUUAGACCCCACUUGGUGGGAAUACAUUGGGUAUAUUAUUGUUGUUGUACUAUAUCAUUAUUGUAUCAAAUUAAUUCGAUAUGAUUCGAUAUUUUAAAGUUUAAUUUCAGUAUUUUACAAUAUGGUAAAUCAUUGAUUAAUAUACAAUACAACAACAUAUCCAUUAUAUUCUUACAAACUAGGAUUUGAGGAUGAUAAAGUAUACAUUGUCCGUACACCACCACAUAGGUGAGUAGAGAGACUACUUUUGAUAGACACAAGCUCAAGACUAGUACAAUAUAGAAAAGAGAUGUAAUAGAGGUACAAAAGAUAAUAAGAAGCAACACAACAAUAAAUAAUAACAAAAUAAUACCAAAAGCAAAAAUUUAUCAACAGAGAAUUCAAGAAUAAGAAACUACAAGCAUAACACUACAAUUACUAAUAAGAACACCACUUCUCUCUAUUAGCAUAGAGACACUCGAACAUCUUAACCUCUACCCUUAUUCGUGUUUGACACACUUUCUAUUUUAGGUCAUGUACCCAACAAGUUGCAAACACACCGUAUCUUAUUUAAUCACUUUUUCCAAUAUUUCUUCUAUGUAUGUAUAUCUCUCCUGAGUCCAUUCAUAGUUAGUCUUUCACAGUUCCAAUGUCCAAACGUUUAGCAGAUUUCAAAUAUGGGCCUAAAAAAAUUAUCGUUGACAAAGAGCCCAGAAUCGAGCGCAGAUUUUUGGUAGCAGUUAGGGCGCACGUUCCUUACUUGCACCCCAAAUUCCGAUUCCAGCCCGCCAAUUUAAAACGACAUCAGAAUCGAUCGAUCGACCAUCACUUUCCCUCGUCGGCAAACUUCCCCCGAUCUCCUUCUCCGGCGAAUACUUUUUGUACGUUCCUCUGUUCUCUAUGCUCGUUCUGUCUAUCUCCAUUUUUCACAUAUAUGAUUCAUUGCUUCGUAAGUGACCAGCAAACCCUACUUUCUUCAUUUUUAAAUAAAUGGUUCAUUUUGUUUCGAAAUAAGUUAUUUCAAUUUUAAUCUUCGUGACCAAGAAAAUAUUGAAUAACUGGGCCAAGCUAAAAGCGCCACUUAUUUAGGAAGGGCGGAAGUACUUUUUUUUUUUUUUUCAUAUGACUUGCAAUGGCAGAAAUUGAUAAAGAAAUGGAGAUUGCCCAAGACCAUAUAAGGAGACCAAUGACCCUUUAACUCACCAAUGUGGGACUCCAACACCCCGCACACCCACGAUUGGACAUUUGGAGCGGGGACAAUAUAAGACGGGGGCCCAACAUCGGAAACGAUGAACUGGGUGGGUCUGACUUUGAUACCAUGAUAAAGAAAUGAACCUUGGGCCUAACUCAACCUCAAAAGCUAGCUCAUGGAGACCAAGGACCUUUAACCGAUGUGGGACUCCAACAGAAAUUAGUUUUUUGUUUGUUCUUUGAUUUUCUUGCAUGUUAAUUUGCUUUCUUGUUUCCUUUCAUGUGACAAUUGCUACAAAGUUCUCGUCUUUUAUUGAUCCACUCUGAAGUAUUAUUAAUCAAUUUUAUGAAUAUUAUUCUAAGGAGAAGGUAAAAUAAGUGAUUACACCUUAAUAUAUGAUUUUUGAUUUUAUACUUCUAACUCUUACAAAAUUCUUCAAAAUCGAGUUUAUCCCCUCACGUAUUAUUAAUCAAUUUGACUCAUUUUUCAAAUGUUGGUCUGGAAGUUAAAAUAUGCAGUUUUGGUAAUUGGGACUUAUUAAUGUUGGUUCCUGAAUAGUCGUGCCUCAAUUCCAAUAUUAAUAAGUCCAAUAUUAACUGGCUAAGAAUAGACAUAUGUCAAAUAAUUAGAAGUUCCCAUAUGUUGGAGAAGGGGAGUUGGUCAGGCUGAUUAUCUGCUUAGUUUCGAACCUUGUACCAUUGACCUCGGGGAUUCUUGGUUAUUGGAAGUUAGUAAAUGUUGCCACCCAAGGGUGUGGCCUAGUAGUUCAAUGAAGUUGGUUUGAGCACCAUAGGUUCAAUUCCUAACAGAGACAAGCAUUAGGUGAUUUCUUCCCAUCAGUUAUAGCCUUGGUGGACAGAGUUACUUGGUACCCGGUGUUGGUGGGAGGUGGCAGGUAUCCAGUGGAAUUAGUCAUGGUGCGCGCAAGCUGGAUCAGAAACCACAGUUAUCAAAAACAAAGAAGUUAGUAAAUGUUCAUACAGUCUAUGAUAUUUCAACAAAGAUGAGUUUUUUUAAUUAUAGAACACUAGUUACUCUUUUCUCUUUUAGAUCAGUAAGACGGAAACAUUGAAGGGGAGCCUUGGAGUAACUAGUAAAGUUGCUGCCAUGUGACCAGGAGGUCACGGGUUCAAACCUUGGAAAGUGAGAAUAGCCUCUGGCAGAAAUGCAAGGUAAGGCUGCGUACGAUACACUCUUGUGGUGGGGACCUUCCCCGGACACCGCGCAUAGUGGUAGCUUUAGUGCACCGGGCUGCCCUUUUUAUCGGUAAGACUGAAACAGACCUCAGACUUUACAGUAAGAAAAAUUGCUUGUCCCAUAACUAAUAAGUAUAUAAAGAAGACAGGAUUCUCUUUAGCCCAAGCCAAUGGGAACCAAACCAGAAAAUUUGACGUGCUCCGCCCAGACAAAAGGAAAAAUGGCUCAACUAUGAAGUACCUUGUAAUAGGUAUAGUAAAGAAAAAAUUUGUAUAUAAUUAGUUAUAUAUAUCACCUGAUUGAGUACACUGGACUGAUUCAGAUAUAAGGGCAUUUAGAAGUAUUGAUUUCAAUAACUGAAAUUAUAAAUGGUUGGUAAUAAUUAUUUAUGUCCAAAUUAUAUGAUAGUCUUUCCAUCUUGGGGGAUUCCCGAAUGAAUGAAUGCCAAUUCAUUGGUAUACCGUUUUCGUAACCUCCAAGUACUGAAAUUCAAAAAUAUGUGGCGACGUUUACACUUAUCAACCUAAUUCUUCAACCAAUGCUAUGUUAUUUUUCCACUAUCACUAAUGUAACAGAUAGGCCAGACUUUUCGUAUUUAAGUGAUCAAGAUUAAUUGAUCUAAUUCGUUAUGUCCAAAUUAUAUGAUAGUCUUUCCAUCUGGGGAGAUUCCCGAAUGAAUGAAUGCCAAUCCAUUGGUAUACCGUUUUCGUAACCUCCAAGUACUGAAAUUCAAAAAUAUGUUGCGACGUUUACUCUUAUCAACCUAAUUCUUCAACCAAUACUAUGUUAUUUUUCCACUAUCACUAAUGUAACGGAUAGGCCAGACUUUUCGUAUUUAAGUGAUCAAGAUUAAUUGAUCUAAUAUAGAGGCAAAAACUAGGUGAUUUCUUCCAUCUGUCCAAGCCAUGGUGGAGUUACCCUGUACUUGUGCUAGUGGGAGGUAAUAGGUACUUGGUGGAACUAUUCAAGGUGUGCACAAGUUUGUCAGGACCCCAUGGUUAUUUAAAAAAAAAUAGAUCAAACUGAUUUAAGAUACCACUAAAAUCUGCCAAUCAAAAUGGACGCUUAAGAUAAUAGUUUAUGAAAAUAGUGCAGUGGGAGUUACACUUCCCUUUUCUCGAUCUCGAGUUCAAAUGUGUAGCCAUGCAGGGUUUACUAUUUGUUAAUUUUCUAUUCCAAAAUUUGCAUCGCCUUUUCUAUUAAUAAUUUUUUUCUUCAUAACUCGUGUUUUGGGACUCUGGAUAAAUUUUCAAAAUCUAAUCUCUCAAUUACAAUCAGUGUUAAUCCACCUUAUGGAUGGAACUGCGCUUCAGUGAAAGUUGGAGGUUCUUACAUAACUGACAAACUCUGGCUUCUUGUUGUAUGUGAUUCACCAGGUCCUCUCCUUCAAGAUCUGCAUAUCUAAAUGUAUGCACUUUCAACUGAAGAUUCUGUUACGAAGAGUGCAGAAUUGAUAUCCAAGAGGAAGAGAAAAACCGCGAGAUACAGGGCUAACAGAAAGGAAAGAAAGCAAAGGUUGGAUCAAAUGCUGAAAAAUGUGUCGGCUCCUAAAAGUGAAGAAAGUUCCGUUGAGGAUGUUGCUAGUUUAGAGAAUUCAAAUUCACAAUUGCUUCCUCUAGGACAUCUCGAAAUACAAACAGAAUCGGCCCCAACUCUCUUGGAAAAGACUCCUGUUAAGAAAAAGAGAAGAAAGAAAAGAAGUGUGAUGAAGGCGUUGAACAAAGAAGUUGACCCUUGUAGCAUGGAUCAGAACAAUGUUCCCUCAAAUCCCAGCCUGCCUGAUAAAAAACAUGGAGAAGUAGAAAAUGGUUUACUCAAUCCAAAUAUUUCCAUUGAAGACGUGGCUAGUUUAGAGAAUUCUGAUGCUCAAUUGCUUCCUCUAGGACAUCAAGAAAUACAAACAGAAGCGACCACAACUCUUUUGGAAAAGGGUCCUGUUAAGAAAAAGAAGAGGAGGAAAAGAAAAUUGAUGAAGGCGUUGAACAAGUCAGAGUUAGUCAUGCAAGUUAAUUCGGCUCCCAUAACUCCAGGUGACUUAUGCAUGAUGACUGGUCGUCGUUUGAGGAGAAAACUUCUCAUCCUUGAUGUUAAUGGGCUACUUGCUGAUAUCGUCAAUCCACCCCCAAAAGACUGUAAUCCUGAUGCAUGUUUCGCAAGACGGGCAAGUGAGAAUACUUUUUAUUUAAUUGCUUAAAUGGUCUUUCGAGCAUCAUUCACAAGAUGAAGAAACACAUGGUUCUUACACAAAGAUACUUGUCUCUUUUGUUUGCAGUAUUCAAGAGACCCUACUGUAAUGAUUUUCUGAAAUUUUGUUUUGAAAGAUUUGACGUGGGCAUCUGGUCUUCUAGAUCCAAGUAAUUCUUGAUUUUGAAAUGCUUCUUGAGUUUCUGUCAUUUUCCUGACUUGAUCUUUUAUGUUUACCCCUGUUAAUGAUGUAAGUCUAAUGCAUUUUAUGAUUUUACUUGGGCAUAAACGUUAACCAGAUUAUAUGUUUGUGCAGGAAGAUCAUUGUUAAAGUGGUUGAUUAUUUAUUGGGAAACAUGAAGCACAAGUUGCUAUUUUGUUGGGUAAGCAUUCUUCCUUUCAGAAAUAGUUAUAUAUGCUCCUCCUAGUAGUACCUUUAAAUUCUUCCUCCAAGCAGCAGGAAAGUGACAAUAAGAAAAGCAAAGAAAAAGGAGUAUGUUUCCCUAUCAUUAUUUUUCUUUGCUUGGGGAAAGAUUUAAUUUCCUUUGUGAUCAUUUGGCCAUGAUCUUCGCUGAUGCUUAAGGAUCUCUGCCGGAUUGUCAUGGCUCUGAUGGAUCAUUGUGAUUUUAUAAUUCUUUGCUAGCAUGAGGCUAAUAUUACCUACUGCAUGAACACAUGGCCUGUUUUUUCCCCUUUUGUAUUUAAUGUUUUGAAUGUAUUACAAACUGCAUGAGCACAUUGGUUGUUUUCCUCUCUUUGAAAUGAAAGAAGGGGGAUGGAAAGUUAUAUUCGACUUCCUUCUUGUAACUAUACUGGCCCUAGUUCAUUUAUAUUGUUUGCCUCUGCAUUUUAUCGGAUAUGUUACUUGCCCAUGCCCUUGGCAAUGACUGCAAAUUGUGAUAGAAACCACCUUUGUUGUAAGGUGGGAGAGGAGGUUACUGGUGAGUAUUUACCUCCGUAUGUUGCCCUGCUAGAACUUUCUUAACCAAAGGUUAGUUCAUUCUUUUCUUCUCUCUCAGCCCAACCAUUAGUAAAAUGGAAAGGAAAAGAAGAAGAAUAGUGAGCCCGCUGUCACAACAUGAUACUUCUCUUUGACCAGUGAUUUGUGGAUGUGUGUGGUUAUAGAUAGUUUGGUCUUCUCAUUUACUGUUGGCACCUCCCUCUAAGAAUAAUCAGUUUCUAUUUUCUAAAUAUCACAGGAUAUGUCGCAUAGCACUCAGACAAUGUUCAAGACUCUUGAGAACAAGCAUAAGCCCUUGGUUUGCAAGGAGCUAAGCAAGGUGUGGGACAGAUAUGAUCCCAAUCUACCCUGGGAAAGAGGGGAUUAUGAUGAAUCAAAUACUUUAUUAUUGGAUGAUUCUCCCUACAAGGCCUUGUUAAAUCCGGUAAGCUUUACACCGCCCUAAUUUUGGUUGCAAGGCUACUCUUCAAAUGAUUCCUCCUGACUUGGUACUUCUUUUUGUGAUUGUAACUACAUUAUGCAUGACCUUGUUCGUCAGGUUCACACUGCAAUAUUUCCUCUUUCUUACCACUACAAGGUCGAGAAUGAUAAUUCACUAGGUGAGACCCCUUUGUCUGGUACUACUUAAUACUUGACCUUUUAUGUACAUAAGACUAUAUACAGUCUUUUGAAAAAAGAUGCUGUAAGGAGGAAUUUCAUAAAUCAUCUCAUUUCUAAUCUACCGCACCCUGAAUUCAGUCAGCUUACAAAAAAGCUAGCUUUGUCAUACCUAAGCCUAAUGUUGGACAUUUGACCCUGGUCUAAUUGAAAAGGGCCCUUAAUGUCUUAAGGUAAGACUUAGGAAGGUAUAAUAGUAGUGAGUUAUUUGCACUUCAGCUUCGUCCAGAAUCUGAUUUGUUGAGUUUAUAGCCUGCUUCAACUUGAGGUUGGUUGUAUUGCCUAUUGUCAGCAUGUUGGUCCCUAAUUCUGAGUCCAGAUCCAACCAAAUCUUGUUAUAUCCCUGCUGUACGCACCAUUUGACUCUCUUCUUUGCUGCAAAAGUUUCUGCAAAGUUGUUGCUACUACACUACAAAGAAAGAGAGAGAGCCAUAAUUAGAUCACCAUUAUAGUUCCUAACACCUAAGUACUCCUCCAAUACAUGCUCUGCCUGUGGCUUGAAAGAAGCUACCAUCUGUACUGAUUUUAACAUAGCCGGGACUUGGUUUAAUCGACAUAACAGUCCUCUAAUUCACUGUUUCCCUCAGUUCUUCCACCUCUCAUAGAUUCUAGGCCAUGACCAAGUUAACUUGUGUUUGGGAUAGGCCUCUUGUUCAUAGCUGCCUGCUUGAAUGAUCCAGUUAAUCUGGAUUUGCAUAUUGGUGAGAUUCAACUUCUUGUCUCCAAAUUUGAUAGCACACGAACUCCUUUAAAUCCUUCAACAAACUAUAAUUUGGCUAAUCUGCAGCAAUGAUUUUUUCCUCUUCAUGUUUAAUUGCCUCUAUUAGUGGUUAUUAGUAUUGAUUCCCACCGUCUGACUAGUGUGAAUCACAGUGGGCUUAGAGACUCUUGACGCUUGAUUUCUUUCCUUGCUUAAUGAUGUUAGAUGUGAUGCAUAUGGGCAACAUGCAAAGUUAGAUUAACAUAGACGGACUAUGCAAGCAGCAAUCUGCUAGUGGUGAUCAAUCAAACUAUGGGCAUUGUGAGAAUUAAGCAGGGUCGGCUUAAUGGAAUCUGUGGCAAUUUUUUAUUUUUCAUAUGUUGUUCUUUUCACUUCAAAGACGAGUGUGCAUUUUGCUUCUCACUCUUCAAGCCUCAUGGACAUUUUUUGCUUUAAGAAAUACUGAAUAUUAGUGAAUUGUGUUUUUCUAGGAAAUUUUAAUUAUGUUGGUAUAAAAUGAUGGAAAUUUUGAUGAUUGAAAAGUUGUACCAUGCUAUAGGCCCUGGAGGUGAUUUGCGAAUUUAUUUGGAAGAGUUAUUAAAAGCCGAACAUGUACAGAAAUACGUAGAGCAACAUCCAUUUGGUCAGCGGGCAAUUGAUCAAACAAGCUCAGACUGGAACUUCUACUCUGAUGUUCUUUCCAGUCUGCUUGGUCAAUCAGGCUUAGAUUCCUGAUCUGCCCUUGUAUAAAAUACGUGUGAUAGAGACUUGCUGUUUAACAUUUUGGGGUGAUCUUGUUUGUGGAGCUGAGACUUGCUUUCAUACUUUUGGCAAAUUUUGAGCGGAUGACAGAUCUGAGCUGUUCAACAAUCAAGACAAAUGUGGACUGCUGCUCACCGGUCUGAGCUGUGCAACAAUCAUGACAAAUGUGGACUGCCGCAGCUAGAAUAUUUUCGAGGUCAUAGGCGGUCUUAUCCUGAGCAGGGUCUUCAUUAAUUGUUUCGCUUGUUAUCUUGCAACAUUAUCCAGUUAAAAUUCUUGAUUUGAUUCCUCCCCAUCUCUAGUAUUUGGGGCAACAUUGUUUUUGUAGCCUAGACUGUUACUCCCCCUGCUGAUUUUGUAAUAUUAUAUGCUUAUUUUCAUGAUAUACUCGUUACCCUGUCUUAUUUUGUGGCAGUGGUGAUUUUGUAGCUUCGGAUUGGGAAUGAAUGAAUUCUUUUGCAAGAAAGCAAGAAAACAAAGUUCUUGUUCAUGCUACUGUGGCUAGUUUAUUGAUCAGAAGCAGCUCCCAUACAAAGUUUAAAUGAAUGGAAAUAGAGACUAGCCCAUCCACCAAGUAUUUUUUAUAAGAAGAAUCAGCAAACUCUGCAUUAUACAUUCUUGCAUCCCUCAAUUACUCUCACAUAUAUUCAUGUUCUGCGUUGAGGUUAACACCAGCAUAGCAGAACUGCUGGAAUUUGUCUUCAACUUCAAUAGGAAGUACAUACAGAUCACUCUAGAUGUGGGGUUCCUUUUAUUUAUUUCCUAUUUCUUUUCAGUCUGGAUGCAUGAAGACCCACUAAAAAGAAAAAAAAAACAUGUAAAGUUUUAAUCAAGAAACACAUUUACAUAGGUUCAAGACGCAACUAAUGAUAGUACACACCUCGAUAAAUCAAGUGCAAAAGCGUCCCUCUCAGCUCUCUCAAUCUAUACUAUAUUAAAGGAAAAAUUUUAGAAAUAACAACUAUAAAGUUUUAAUUAUAAUUUUUAUAGCAAUAGUUUCAUAAUUACGAAAAUAGCAAAUAGUAUUUUGUAUUUAAGUAAACUAUUGCUAUACAAAUACAUAUACAACAAGAUUUCUUUUACUCAAUUUAGUUUAGUUAAAUAAGGAAUAAUUAUUUCAUCUAAUUAAAUUUCCAUAAAUUACUCUUAUUUAAAUUAAAAGAUUCUUUUUUCAAAUCAAACUCAAAUAUAAAGAUUAUUAUUUCCAUGACCUUCAAAAUUCAAAAUAUCAUUUUCUUAUAUCUCUAACUAUGUUUUCUUGUUAGUUUUUUCAUUUUUUUUAAUUUUUUUUUUCUUUUCCAUUUUUUCCUUUCCACUUUAUUUUCGCUCUUCUACUUCUCUUCUUUUAUUUAUUUAUUUNNNNNNNNNNNNNUUUUUUUUUCUUUUUUCCCUUUUCUCAUAUUUUUUUUUGUUUUCUUCUUCUUUUUAUUUUUUACUUUUUUUACUUUUGUUUUUACACUUCUAUUUCUAUUUCUUCUUUUUUUCCCUUUUCACUUAUUUUUUUUAAUUUUUUUUUUAACUCUUCUAUCUCUAUCUUUUAUUUUUAAAAGAUAAAUAUCUAUAUCAUAUAUACAUAUUCAAAAAAUAUACAAAAUAAAUAAACAUACAGAUCUGUAUAUGUAUUUACGGUAAAAAACAUAUAUAUAUAUAUCUGCAUAUGUAUUUACAGAAAUACAUAUCUGACUCAUAUGUAUAUAUAAAUAUAUAGGACACAAUUUCUAUAACAAAAAUGAUGAUCAUAUACAUAUACAUAUAAGUAAUAAAAAAAUAUAUGAUACAUAUCUUAAAUUGUAAAAAAAAAAUAAAUAAGUACAUAUGCUACCCUCACCAAAUUUUGUCCAUCCCAAAACCCAAGUCAUCCAUUUUUACCUCGCGUUAUUAUACACCCUCAUCCAUGUGAUUAUACCCCACAAAAAUACAAAAAUAACCAUAAUCCAUAACAAAUUGAGUCCUAGCAAAUUUUAUCUCAACCAACUCACACCCCUCACCCUACCCUACCUACCCCUAGCCCCACCUCAGCCCCCUCCCCUUCAUAUUUUUCUCGUUUUUCCAUAACAGAACAAAAAUAGGGUGGGACCCACAGAAAGCUUCCUCACAAUUCCACCACUGAAAUGAAGUAUAUACACACUCCACACGAUAUGCUCCCCAUAUAUUCCUCCACUGAAACACAACAUCGACAUACACAAAAAGACCUCAUGCUCCACUUUUUCCAUUCAACAAACACACUCACAAUAACACACGCUGACCCACCCAAAAACACACGAAAAUUUGCCGUCAUCUUCCAUUUUCUCCAACUAUACAGCAAAAGGAAUACAUACACAAGAGAAGAUACACACACAAACUAGUGAAAGAAAACAGGGAGAGAACACUCGAUUCUCUUCAUUCUCAUACCCACGCACACACAGUGAGAUCGAGAGGAAGGGAGAAUAGAGAGAGGGGGAAGAGUAACACAGAGAGAGAGCAACAAAGAGAGAGAGGUGACGGAGUGAGAGAGAGAGUAACGAAGAGGAUGAAGUGAGAGAGUUUGAGAGAGAAGGAAUCGACCAGAGAUCGAGUUUUCCGGCCAUUCUUCACCGGAAAUCACUUCACCCGUUCCGAUUUCACUUCGAAAUUCACUGGAAAACUCGAUUAAACCCAUCUCCGUCGCCGAAAUCAGAACCAGCUGCUUGAAUCGGCCUGAAAUCAGCCUGUUCGGGUUGAUUCCGGUCUGUUUAGGUUGAAUCCGGCAACGUUCGAAUUGAUUCCGGCGACAAUUGGUGCGCGAAUCUCGUUCGUUUCGCAGUUCUUGCUUUUGAAUAUUCGUCUGUCUCUUCGCGAAUUUCGUAUCUGAAUCGGAUUCCGGAGAUUUUCAUAGCUGGUUCGUAGUCGAGAUUGUGGUACCCGUUGUGGUUAUUGGACGCAGGUUCUACCAGGUUUAAUCGAAAUAAUACACCCGAAGUAAUACAUCAAUUUUUGAAAGAGUCGUCUUUUUUCUUUAAUUUUUAGGUAAUCGUGAAUAAUUUGUGUUUGCUAUGUUUGAAUCGUGAUUGUGUAUUGAUUGAUGUUGGAUUUGAACGUGGAAACUUGAAUUGGUAGUCGAAGAAUUGAUUAAUUAUUUUGUGAAUGGAUGUGGGAAGGGAUUGUUCUCUAUAAAAGUAAAUUUGGAUAAAUUUUGAUUCAUUGAUGAUGUUGAACGUGAUAGAAUCAUGAUAGAUCGAAUUGGAUAGGUAAAUAGUAGGUUCGGGUCGGGGAAUUUAAAACUUGUGGAUUGCUGAAUGUUCAAAAUGUUUGUUGAAUGGUUUUAUUUUAUAAAUUUGGAUCAAUUGUACUUAUUUGGUCGGGGAAUGCCCCAAAGGAAGUUGUAUUUAUUCACCGAAAAAUAUUCCGAUGUAUUAUGUUUUCAUGUUUUCAAAGGAGGUUCGUGAUCAAAGCUCGAGGCACCGGAUAAAGUACAGGAGCGUAGUUUAGGAUUAGUGUAGGUUAGUGUAAGUAUAUGUUUUUGGUAGUUUUUUAUUUUGGGACUGUAUAAUUGGACUGAACAAUAUAUUUUAGAUUUGUUUUUUUUUUUGUGUUUGAUUGAUUGUUUUAUGUGUUUUGUGUGGUUUAUACAUUCGUAAUGUCAAAUUAGCCGAUACGCUUCACAAGCGAUCGUGGUUGAAUCACGGGAUCGAGGGGUGUGUAACACCUUCCCCUCGGUCAACAGAAUUUCUUAGUUGGAAUCUCUGUUCGCAAAUCAGUUUUAAAGAGUUAAAAACAGUUUUAAAAAUGGAUUUCUAAAGGUGAGUUGGCACACCCGAUUAUGUCAAGUGGCGACUCUGAGUUGAUUAUAAAAAUGAAUUCUUUUCGAAAUAAUUUUUAUUUUGUCACGUUAAUAAUAAAAUUCCUUUCAAACUUUAAAAUUAAUAUUUUGGUGUAAAAAAGUGGUGUGACAGCUCUAACGAUUUCGUUGAGGAUUUUUUAGAAUUUGAGCUUAUUUUGGAGUCGUAUCGGCUUAGUUUGACACUAUAGAUAUAUAGACAUUUUGUUUGUAUUAUUUCGUGUUAUUGUUUAUCAUUGUUGAGUGCCUACGUGCUCUUUGUUUAUAAUUUUUAUCUUAUGUGUUACCGCUUUAUAUCUGGCAUCACGUGCAUAACUCGAGUCAUGCUUUCUGCAACGAGUCUGUAGCACACGUGUAUAUACGACCUUUAGUUGAGUCACCCUUAUUUUAGGAGGGGGAGUCAUUGGGUUGUAUGGAGUAGGUCGAAAGCUGUCGUAGCCACUAUCGAUCAUACGCUCCCCCGAAAAACCUUGUUAGUUAACCCAGCGUAGGUCAGCCUUUAGGUCAUGCUUAUGUACAUCAUAUUGAGACCUAGCAAGACCUACUUGGUCCUUUGUAGGAGAAUCACUUCUAAAGUAUCUCUACGUGCUAAAUGUUGCAUCUUUGAGGGUAAUGUGGUCAUUUGACGAAUUGAUUUAGGGAAAGCAGGUGUUAGAAGUAAAGUGUGUAGACAAGAAAUUGUUAGAAAAAAAAAAGAGAAAAAAGAGAGAAAAAGAAAAGGUGAAUGAAGAAAAAAGAGUUUCGUAGUUGUUUAGAGUUUUUAUGGCAAAAUGGUCAAAAGCCCCCCAACCUUUACCCCAAGUCCUAACUACACACUCAGCUUUUAAAUGUGACUUAUUACCCCCUGAACUAUUUUAAAAUAGAAUUAUUAUCCCUGUGAACUAUUUUAAAAAGGAAUUAUUAACCCCUGAAAACUGACAACCAGUCAUUUGAAAUGUAGUGUGAUGCACGCGCUGCCACAUCAUGUCACGUCAUUUUCACGUUUUUUUUUUUUUACUCUAAAAAAAAUUAAUUAUUUAACUUUAUUAUUUUCUUUUUUCUUCCCCAUUUUUCAUUUUGCUCCAUUUUCUUCUUCAACCAAUUUCAUCUUCUUGGGUCAAAAAUAGAAUUCUUGAAAAAAAAUGGCGGAUUAAUGAAGUUCUUGAAUGACGGAUUAAUGAAGUUCUUCAACCCAAUUUUAUCUCCUUUUGCUCAAGAUUGCCAUUAAUGGCGAAUUCUUUCCCACUGUGGAAAUUCAAAAUUUUGAGCUCGCCAUUAAUGGCGGAUCUUGAGCAAAAAUAGAGAAAAUCGGAGAAAUAGGUUGAAAAUUAUAUGUGGGUUAUGUUGGAAAUUAUAUAUGGCAUUGUGGAAAUUAGAAGUUUUGAGCUUGCCAUUAAUAACGAUUUUGAGCAAAAAGAGAAGAAAUCGAAGUUCUUGAAUUUUUUUAAGCUUUUUGAAUCGGAGUUCCCAAACUUCUUCAUUCAAGAAUUCAUUAAUCGGAGAAAUUUUAUUGUUUCCUUAGUUCAAGUGUUCCUUGGUUUUGGAGAAAUUCAUUAAUGAGGAAGACGAGGAACUCCAUUAAUGAGUUCUUGAAUUUUUGCUUUGAAAAAGAGAAGAAGAAGACGUGACGUAGCAAUUAGAAUUCAUUAAGAAAAAGUUAUAAUUAAAAUAUUUAUUAUAUUAUUAAAAAUAAUGAUGUGACAAUCAGAAAAUAAAGAAUUUAAAGUGAAAUGGGAUCAACUGACGCUCCCAUGGGCGGGUGUAGUCACGUCCAGUGAUAGGUCAGCAAUUGGGGGAUAAUAAAUUCAGUAAAAAUAAG